CCUACAUCUUCAAAGUUUCCUUCCAUUCUUCUUAUUCUUCUCAUAUUUCUCAUCUCCUUCUUCUCUGAUGCAACUUCCAACACCCAGAACCUUUUGCGAAGAGGCUCCUCUCUCUCUGUCGAAGAUGAUUCCGACUACAUCACCUCCCCAGACAAAUCAUUCACUUGUGGUUUCUAUGGGAUGGGGAAAAAUGCUUACUGGUUUUCGAUAUGGCUCACAAAUUCAAAGGAAAGAACUGUUGUUUGGAUGGCCAAUCGAAACAGACCUGUCAAUGGCCGGGGCUCCAGAAUUUCGAUGCAGCGAGAUGGCACCAUGAUUCUAAGGGAUGCUGAUGGCUCAACUGUUUGGGAGACGAACACUACCUCCAAAGAUGUUGAUCGAGCAGAGCUUUUGGACACUGGAAACCUUGUUCUGAAGGACCCACGGGGUAAAAUUCUAUGGCAAAGCUUUGAUUUUCCUACUGAUACUCUUCUGCCAAACCAAAUCCUUACUACAAGCACACAGCUGAUCUCUAUAAUCAGAAGAGGGGAUUUUUCCUCUGGUCACUUUUACUUCUUUUUUGAUAAUGACAAUGUCUUGAGAAUGAUGUAUAAUGGGCCUGACAUUUCAAGCUUGUAUUGGCCUAAUCCUGAUUGGAAUGUUUUCGGAAAUGGAAGAACAAACUAUAACAGUAGCAGAAUUGCUGUUUUAGAUGAAAUGGGGAGGUUUCUUUCGAGUGAUAAAAUGUCUUUCAAAGCUUCUGACAUGGGUUUUGGAGUCAAAAGGAGGCUGACAAUGGACUACGAUGGAAACCUGAGGCUCUAUAGUUUAAACCAUUCCACGGGAUUAUGGGUGAUCUCAUGGAAAGCUCUUAGCGAACAGUGUAAAGUGCAUGGGUUAUGUGGUAGAAAUGGGAUUUGUAUUUAUACACCAGAACCCAAGUGUUCAUGUCCUCCGGGCUAUGAAGUAAGUGACCCAAGUGACUGGAGCAAAGGUUGCAAGUCUAAGUUCAACCAAAGCUGUUCCCAAACACAGCACGUAAAAUUUGUGGAGCUUCCCCAGACCGAUUACUAUGGGUUUGAUCUCAAUUACAGCCAAUCUGUUUCAAUGGAAGCUUGCAGGAAAAUCUGCUUGGACGAUUGCCUUUGCCAAGGAUUCGCCUACAGGCUAACAGGAGAAGGGAACUGUUACGCAAAAAGUACCCUUUUCAAUGGCUACAAGUCCUCGAACUUCCCAGGGAGUUUAUAUUUAAAACUGCCUAUGGAUGUCGAAACGUCAGCACCCACUAUUCUUAAUGGCGCUGAUCCCAUAUGCGAGUCCAAGGAAGUUGAGGUCGUGCUGAGUUCUUCUAUGUAUGACCCUGCCAAUAAAAGGAUGAGAUGGGUUUAUCUCUACUCAUUUGCUUCUGCCAUUGGUGCAAUGGAAAUUCUCUUUAUUGUGUCGAGUUGGUGGUUUCUUUUCAGGGUACAUAAUGUGACAUCUUCAGUUGAAGAUGGAUAUGGUCCGAUUUCAAGUCAGUUCAGGAGAUUUAGCUACACCGAACUCAAGAAGGCAACCAACAAUUUCAAAGUAGAGCUUGGAAGGGGAGGCUUUGGGGCUGUUUAUAAGGGUGUUUUGGAGGAUGAAAGGGUAGUAGCUGUGAAGAAAUUGGGAGAUGUCAUUCAAGGGGAAGAGGAGUUUUGGGCUGAAAUAAUCACAAUCCAAAAAAUUUAUCAUAUGAAUCUUGUCAGAAUGUGGGGAUUCUGUACAGAGGGUAGACACAGACUUGUAGUCUAUGAGCAUGUAGAAAAUCUAUCACUGGAUAAGCAUCUCUUCAGUACGACUUUUCUGGGAUGGAACGAGAGGUUUAACGUUGCAGUGGGGACAGCAAGGGGUUUAGCCUACCUUCACCAUGGGUGUCUAGAAUGGGUUAUCCAUUGUGACGUGAAGCCUGAAAAUAUACUUCUAGACAAUGGGUUUGAACCAAAGAUUGCAGAUUUUGGGCUAGCAAAGCUGUCUCAGAGAGAUGGCCCCGGUUCCAAAGAAUUCUCUCAGAUUCGGGGGACUAAAGGAUAAAUGGCUCCGGAGUGGGCGAUGAAUCUUCCAAUUACGGCAAAAGUUGAUGUUUAUAGCUAUGGAGUUGUGGUUCUAGAGAUGGUGAGGGGAAUUCGGCUUUCAAAUUGGGUGGUUGGGGAUGGUGAGGAGCAGGAAGCUGAGAUGACGAGGUUUGUCAGGCUAGUGAAACGGAAAAUUGAAUGUGGAGAAGACAAUUGGGUAGAGGAUACAGUGGACCCAAGAUUGAAGGGUAAGUUUAGCAGGCACCAGGCAGCAAAGUUGAUCGAAAUAGGUAUUUCUUGUGUAGAGGAAGAUGGAAGUAAAAGACCUACAAUGGCCACCGUAGUCCAAGUUCUCCUGGAAUGUGAAAAUGAAGCCCAAGUCCAAACCCUGGACUGGGAUUAAAUGUCCUAGGUUAUGGGUUGUCAUUGGUUUUUCUUGUUUUCUUUUUGUAUGUCUUUCUCCGUAGCCACUUCUCUGGAACUACAUCAAUUUGGAAUCGUCCAAAUUCAUGAUCCUGUGUAGCAUAAGACAUUCACCUCCCAUAAAAUAAUAGAAAUUCACAGCAUGCAGAUACUAUGAUUUUUUUUUUCUCCCCAAAAAGAAAGACAAAAGAAAAAAAGACAGAAGUCUGUAAAAAGCAGAUGAACAAACUUGAAUUUUAUUUUUAGGACUCAAGUCAAGGGUGACUAGAUGAAUUGGUGGAUGUAGAUUCUGAUUUCCUUUCAUUUGUUUUAUUUAUAGCAGUUUCAUUUCCUUGUUCAGUCAGUAAUUUUCUUUUUCCCCUCACUUGAAGUAAUUGUUUUGAUAAUUUUGUUCCCUUCCCCCCACCUUCUUCAAAUUGGGUGUAUAAUUGAAAUGGAAGUUGGCUUAUAUUUACUGGUAAUGCUUGUGAUAUCCUUUUUCUCACCUUUUUCUUAGAAAUGAAGAAUGAGGAAAUAUGGGUGCUACAUGUUUCGCUUGUUGAGAACUGCCAUUGUCACAUAGAUUUCCUAUUGAUUAACAUGUAAUCCUUGUAUGAUUUUUGUUCCAAGGAAAUUAGUUGGUAAAAAGCUUCAGUCAAACUUUAAUUGUGUGACAUUGUAGGAAUCUUUGUCCUAGAUCUUGAAUGCCUUCUUUUUGUAUGAUAUUAGAUAUCAUGCAUCCACAAGUUCUUCUCACUUGUUCAAUUUUUUAUGAUGUGCGGUUUUUAACAUAUGGUGUUCUUAGAUGUCUGGAUCCUAGUAAGCUUUACUUGUGUGAGCUUAUCCUUGUAAAGUGGAAAAGUUAUCCUACUGAUGCAGUGUUGUUAGAUAUUCUAAUAGCUUUACUUGUAUGAGCUCAUCCUUGCAAGCUUGAAGGUUAUCUUGUUCAGGGACAUGGUCCUUGCUCUUCUUCUAGAACUUUUUAUUCCGUUCUUUUCAUUUAUUUAUUUAUUUUUGGUGUGUGUGGAUAGCCUUACUAUUAUAGCACGUGUGUUAUUUUUCCAUGGGCUAUAUUACAAUUUAUCUCUCGUAGUUUCUUCCCUUAUUUUUAGGAAGCAUACUUAUGUACGUCUGAAUUCUUAUUUGGAAGCGUCUUGGUACUUUGACUGUUUAAGUCUUAAGAAGUUGAUAUCCAAGUGUAGCUAUAUAUUGUUACUUAGAGGAUCUGCAGAUUUAAGUAGGUUUAGAUCUGAUAAAACUAUAUACCAGCACUCAUGUCCCCAUUGUUUGCAAUAUGGAGCUAUGCUGAACUGUGAAAUGAGUAGCUACUGUUACCAACUUGAGGCUUGGGUCAAAGGAAGAAAAAGAGGUUGAUAGGAUAUGUUGAACUGUGAAUUUAAUUAACUCGUGUUCAUCAUUUGAUAUCAUGAUUCUGAAUUGUUGAUCGGAUGGACCAAAUGCAUUUGGUGUGGUACUUGUUUUAAUUGGACCUGGUAACAUUGAUCAGGUCCUGGUUUUUUUUUUCUUCUUCUUUUUUUUUUUUUUUCCAGCAAUGUUUGCUUUUUGAAACACCAAUUUUCUCAUCAUGAUUGUAGGAAGUACAGAGAUGCCAGAUGCAAUGGAGAUGAUAUUUCAGUCUGCCCUUGCUUUGGGUAGAAACGGGGCCGCGAGUUAUUUGUUUUCCCUGAAAUUUCUUGCACUUACAUCAUAUCGUGCUUUUCCAUGUCUAAUUUUUAGUACCACACUCAAUUGAGCUAAUUGACAGUAAGUUUCUUGCUUUUGCUUUGCAUUACAUUUUAGUAUGCAAAAUAAAAGGAAAAAAAAAGAAAAAAGAAAAAGAAGAGUGGACUCUUCUAGAAUUACCAGAAAACAAAAAAUAAGCAUGGGUUGUUGUUUGUUUGUGGAGUUAUUUUAGUUUUUGACGUCAUGCUCCUCAAGCAACAUCUUAUAAGACGAUUUUUAGUAUUAGGUCCAACAUGAACUAGUGCAAGUGUGAAGAUUGCAUUUUCUCAUGUCUCAGACUCUCCAGUAGAGGGAAUCAUACUCUCUCCAUUUGACUUGACAUGUGAUAUGCUGGAAACCUGAAACAUGGCCUUGGUUUGGCUGGUGUCAUUUUUCACUACUCAAGAGAUUUCUUGCCCAUAUGCUAAAGACUUUUAUAAGUAGUCUAUAUAACUAACUGCCCUUGGCAAAAACUCAGCGUGUCUAUAACUAAAGAUGUACGUUAGCAAUAGCAUUAUAUGGAUAUGGCUUUGUGGUUCAACACGAAUACAAUGACACUUUCCUGGAGAAUACCUGAAUAAGAUGAAUAACAACAAAUGUCACAUGAAAGCAAAUUGGUCGUGCCAAUUAAGAAUUUCUGUUUCAUACAUGUCAGCAAGUUGAUGAGCUAAUGGGUGAUGUGGAAAGCGCAGUGUCCUUGUAUUCAAAGGCGGUGCACUUGUUAGUGUUCCUUCUAGUGGAAGCACCAUCCCUCAUUCUCAACCCUCCCUUCUUCUUACAAACUCAGACCAGUAUAGGCUUCGAACUUACAUUGAUAUCCUUAAUAGGCAAGAGUCCACUCAAGGUCUCAAAGGAUGAAUCUUCUUAAGUGCGAGGAUCAACAAUGCCCCCCUUAAAAGCUAGUGUAACUUUUAAAUAUCCAAGGUGCCAUGACUUCCAUAUAAAAUCAUUUAUUUGUAAAGAUGUUCUUUGAGUGACUGUGAUCCCUUAUUUGGGACUCAAAUCAUGAUUCUAUAAUUUAAAGACUGAUGAAAUGUGCAUUUUUUUCCCAUCUCUGUCCAUUUGGAUGUGCAUUUUCUGACCAGGUGUCUAUUCAGGGGUCAUUGCCUAAAAAGCCAAUCUGGACGGUUCUGUUAGAUGAAUGGACUAGUGACUUCAAAUGCAAAUUUUGGAGCCACUAAAAACUCCUAACGGAUGGGCUUGUGAUUUCAAAUGCCAUCGAACAUGUAUUUUUUAUUUUUUAUUUUCAGGCCUGGAGAUACAAUGCUGUUUAUGGGACACCAGAUCUACUUUAAGGUCUUGCUUGAUUUAUGGGAAGAAAAUGUGCGGAAAAUUAUUUUCCUUAUAACUGGUGAGGUAGAUGAGUGCAGCUUGUGUCUAAGCAGCUUCCAUUGAAUAUUUGAGGAAAAUUCUCCUAUGAAUAAUUAGCAUCUUAUUCAAAACUUAUGAGGAGGGUUCCAAUCAGUAAAGAGUCCUGCAAAGGCUUGAUUAUCUUAGCAUGAGUCAUCAUCCCAUGACCAAGAGCGAAUACAGAAAUGUUAGGCAUGCCGCAUACGAAGGCGCCAAUCAUUUUAUCAGCCUAUCACAAUAUGCAUUAUGUAUUCCAAUUAUAUUCAAAAUUUCACCACCCGUAAAUAGGGCAGCAUAUUUCAAAACACCUACCGUAUCUUCCAAUGUUUUAAAGAGUGUCACAAGUUUCUCUAAAUCUUCCUCAUUCUUAGCUGGCAAAUGUGGACACCUUCCUUCAGGAAGAAUACAAUAUCAAUGGAUCUCCUUUAACUACUUGAUGAAAAUCAUUUCCUGCCAUUUCACAAUUGGGUCUUAUCGGAUGAGGUUACUAGAAUGAAUGGAACUUGGUGGGUCGGAGUCCACAUUGAUGAAUGGUGAAAUGGUGCCCAGUAAAAAGGCAAAUAACACAAGAUUGAGAAGACGAAAGCAUGUCUUUUUUCAUUAUAACUUCAAAGGGAAGAUUCAUGGUGGUGAUCAAAAUGAAAUCUCCAAAUAAAGAUGGCUAGUUAUACUCUAACUCUGCUGGUUUGGAAAUCCAAGAUCUACCUUGUCGAGAAUGAUCAAAUUUUAGGGGUGUUAUCAAUAUUGUCCCCUAAGCUAAUGACCAAUUCAAGGCAUUGAAAUAUAAUUAAAAAAAUGCAACAAGUAGGAGUGGAUAUUAAAAAGAAGGGAGUCUUAUGUCAUAAGACGCUUCAAAUGACCCUCCCUAUGGGCUUAUAUAGGAAAUAGGAAGCUUUUAAAGACCCCAAGAGACAUCUACACUUAGCUACAAAGUGGAAGAGUAUGGAAGUUUUUAGAGAGGGUUAGAGAUGUCUACACAUCUCUACACUUGACUAGGAGAGCAUUGGAAUAGUGUGGAAUGUUCUAAAUUCUUCCAAAGGCAUCUUGUACAUAACCUUAUACAUAGACUAGUGUAGGAGCUUCUAGAUUAUUCUUGAUCUGUAAGGAAACCUCUAAGGUUCUACAUACUUCCUGAGGUGUCUAUAAAUAGGUUAAGGCCUCAUUUGGCCAAGACACCACCCAAAUCACUUUCUAACCAAGCAAGUGAGCUUUCAAAGCACUUGUAAAACAUCAUUUGAGAGCAAUAGAAGCUUCCAUUCUUUAAGAGUUGCCUAUUUCGCCUUCUAAAGCUUCCAAUUCGUGAGUAGUAAGCUAAGUACUAGGAGUAAGGUUGACAUAGCAAGAUCACAAGUCUUGGUUUGUCUAAGUGUCACAUGAGCUUAGGAAAAUAUUAAUUCUAUGAUAGUUGGUAUUAGAGUAUGGUUGCAAAGCAGGCAUUGUGAAGGAAGCAUAUUGGGGUCCAAUGUUGAUGACACUAGUGAGCAAACUCGUGGAAGGAAAACCGAGCCUAUUGUACGGGGUAGGGGUAGGAAGGAUAAGUCUCAUGAUGUCGUUGUCAACAUAGAGGCAAGGGCUAGCCAAAAUGGAGCUAGCCAUGGCGGACUCUCGGGAGGGGUUGGACUUGAUUGAGCAAGGCAUGGAGAAGGGCAUGGAAGAUCUUAGGGAAUAGAUCCAAGACCUUCGUGAGGAGAUGCUAGUCUCAUAGGUUCAACUAGUGUCACACGAGGAGUUUGUGUCCUUCGAAAAGAAGGUCAUGAGUGUGCUUACUAGCAUGGAGUCAAAGAUGGAGGCUUUGGCUACCAUAGAGUCCCGAGACCAAGGGGUUAGGCAAUAGUUGGCUAUCUAUAAGGUCGUUGUGUCAGCGCUAGUCAUGGCCAUAUGGGAGGCAUCUAGGAUAGAGAUACUGAAGCCACAAGGGUUUAGUGGCAAGUAGGAUGCCAAAGAGUUAGACAACUUCUUAUGGCAUAUGGAGCAAUACUUCGAGACUAUCGCACUAACUGAUGACGGCUAAGGUAAGGACUAUGAUCCUCUACCUUACUAACAUAGCUACUCUAUGGUGGCGUCAAAAGUUCACCGAUAUGGAGAAAGACAUUUGCAUCAUAGAAACAUGGGAGGACUUUAAAAGGGAAAUCAAAAGGUAGUUCUACCUCGAGGACGUGGCCUACCUAGCUAGGAAAAACAUGAGACGUCUUAAGCACACAAACUCGAUUUGUCUCUAUGUCAAGGAGUUCUCUUCGCUCAUGCUUGAGAUUCCUAAUAUGACUGAGGAGUUGUUAUUCAACUUCAUGGAUAACCUACAAAGGGGGGCCAAGCAGGAAUUAAGGCAUUGAGGUGUUCAAGACUUAAUCACUGUUAUGGCAGUAGUAGAGUUUUUAACGGAUUACAAGAGGAAAGACUCCUCCAAGGUUGACUCUUUGGAGGAUAGCCAUGCCACUAGUGGAGAAGAUGAGGUUUCAAGGGACCACAACGCUCUUAGAAUGGGAUCAGGCAAGACACUUAACGUUAGGAAAAAAAGAGGUAAGACGAAAAAUAAGGACUUUACGCUUAAAAUCAAGUGUUUCUUGUAUGACAGUCCAUAUUGGGCACAAGAUUGUCCAAAGAGGAAGAUGCUUAGUGUCAUGAUCGAGGAGAAUGAAUAAGAAAAUGAGGCACAUAUGGGUUCGAUGCAACUACUAGGUACCUUCCAAGUCAACCCAAAGCGUAGUACGCUUAAGACCUUCUUACUAUUAAGGGUGCAAGUAAAGGAGGCAAAAUGGGAGCAAACUAAAGUAGCCCGUACACACAUGGACAAGGUCACCAAGGGAGAGGUGAACUUAAUGGGCAAAAGAAAACAACACUCUAAGCAUCGAAAGUGUAGGUGUCUGCAUCCAUCCAAGGCCUCAUAGGAAAAGGAGGUGAAAAAUAUCCUGGCUGAGUAAGUCACCAGGAGACAAGGGGUCCUUUUUGUGAUAGAGUAUCUAGUCCAAUGGAAAUGUCUACCUAAGAGGCAAGCAAGUUGGGAACAUGUGGAUGCCUUGAGAAAGUUUUGGAAACACAUCAAGAGAUUUCAAGAAGAGGCAACGACAGGGACAUCAAUGGUAUGGGUGAGGGAAAGUAUCACAAGAUGCUUCAAAUACCCCUCCCCAUGGGCUUAUAUAGGAGAUAGGAAGCUUUUAGAGACUCUUGGAGACAUCGACACUUAGCUACAAAGUGGAAGAGUAUGAAAACUUUUAGAGAGAGUUAGAGAUGUCCACGUAUCUCUACACUUGGCUAGGAGAGCAUUGGAGUAGUGCGAGGUGUUCUAGAGUCUUCCAAAGGCAUCUUGUACAUAGUCUUAUACAUAGACUAGUGUAGGAGCUUCUAGAUUUUUCUUGAUUUGUAAGGAACCCUCCAAGGUUCUAGAGACUUCCUAAGGUGCCUAUAAAUAGGUUAAGGCCUCAUUUGGCCAAGACACCACCCAAAUCACUUCCUAAUCAAACAAGUGAGCUUCCAAAGUAUUUGUAAAACAUCAUUUGAGAGCAAUAAAAGUUUCAAUUCUUCAAGAGUUGCCUACUAUGCCUUCUAAAGCUUCCAAGUCGUGAGUAUCUUAGCCUAGUAAGUUAAGCAUCAGGAGUAAGGUUGACUUAGCAAGAUCACGGGUCUUGACUUGUCUAAGUAUCAUAUGAGCUUAGGAAAAUACUAAGUCCAUGACAUUUAGCUUCAUUGUCGACAAGUCUUUAGUGUAUCUUCGUCUAUAGCUUACAUCAAACAAGGACAGGUCAUGAAUUCAUUUGUAGCUUUCGUCAUAUAACAAGAGUUGUUGACAUAUAAUCAGUGGGUAUACCAAUGACCAGUAUCAUUGCUAAUGAGUCUUUCACGGGCCAUCGUACAUGGCUAGCUUACAUAAGAUAAAGAACCAUCAUGAUUCAUGUGUAGCUUAUACGAGAUUGGGAGAGGUCUUCACUUAAGAGAACUUGUUGUUCAAGGCAUUAUUUCUGGGGUGACGGUCAAGUUUCUCAACAUUCAGACUUUCCCGCAACGUAACGUACAUGCACGGUGCGCCCAAAUUCAACAAAGGGCACCUUUAGAUGUGACCAUUUCUACAGUUAAAUUGGAUAAAUAUCUAUCAUCUCCCUAAGGUUUCUCAAAAAUUUAUCUCCCUUAAAAAAUCUUGGGGCAUCUCUAUUCUUUGGUUUACAGUUUGUUUGAAAAGCUGAUCAAGGUAGUGGAUAAACUUAAUUCGUGCCAUGUCUUCCCUCCUUUCGUAUGUGAACUAAUGGAUAUAAAACUAACAUUUUCUUAACCAAAGAUACAUUGUGAAGCUACAAAACUCGAACGACCAGGAGAAUGGUCUCUCUCAAAAGUCAAAACCUAAGGGUGCAAAGAAUUCUCCCCACCUUCGGGGCAAGGACAUUCAACAUCCACUCAAAUGAAGACCUAAUGCUGAAGAAAGGAAGUCAAGUCUCUUUGGCACCAUGCACGAUAAAGCUGAAAAAUGGCAGAAAAGUCGUGGUUCCUGCUGCCCUGUUGCAAAAGGCCUACUCCUUCGUGCUCCUUCCCGUGAAGAGUGGCUAUAAAAAGAAACAUAAGCAACAAAAUGGGAUCUCCUCCUCAACGAAAUCACUCUCUCCAUCUACAAGAAAACGGUAAAAAAUUCAUCUUUGUAUCCAGAAAAUGAUGAAAUAAAAUCCUCCAUUUUUCCUGAAGAAUUUUAGCUACUUCACAUAGCUAGACAAAACUAGGAAAGACAUGGGAAACCUUAGUCCUACAUCUCAAAAGUUUCCUUCCAUUCUUCUUAUCCUUCUCAUAUUUCUCAUCUCCUUCUUCCCUUUUGCAACUUCCAACACCCAGAACAUUUUGCAAAGAAGCUCCUUUCUAUCGGUCGAAGAUGAUUCAGACUACAUCACCUCCCCAGACAAAUCAUUCAAUUGUAGUUUCUAUGGGAUGGGGGAAAAUGCUUACUGGUUUUCAAUAUGGUUCACAAAUUCGAAGGAACGAACUGUUGUUUGGAUGGCCAAUCGAAACAGACCUGUCAAUGGCCGGGGCUCCAGAAUUUCGCUGCAGCAAGAUGGUGCCAUGAUUCUAAGGGAAUGCUGAUGGCACCCUGUUUGGGAGACGAACACUACCUCCACCGAUGUUGAUCGAGCAGAGCUUUUGGACACUGGAAACCUUGUUCUGAAGGACCCACGCGGUAAAAUUCUAUGGCAAAGCUUUCAUUUUCCAACGGAUAUUUAAUUUUCUGCCAAACCAACUCCUCACUACAAGCACAAAGCUGAUCUCUAUAGUCAGCAGAGGGGAUUUUUCCUCUGGUCACUUUCACUUCUUUUUUUUAUAAUGACAAUGUCUUGAGAAUGAUGUACGAUGGGGAUGAAGUUUCAAGCUUGUAUUGGCCUAAUCCUGAUGGGAAUGUUUUCCGAAAUGGAAGAACAAACUAUACCAGUAGUAGAAUUUAUGUUUUAGAUGAAAUGGGGAGGUUUCUUUCGAGUGAUAGAAUGUCUUUCAAAGCUUCUGACAUGGGUUUUGGAGUCAAAAGGAAGCUGACAUUGGACUACGAUGGAAACCUGAGACUCUAUAGCUUAAACCAUUCUACGGGAUUAUGGAAUAUAUCAUGGGAAGCUCUUAGCGAACAGUAUAAAGUGCACGGGCUAUGUGGUAAAAUCGGGAUUUGUAUUUAUACGCUAGAACCCAAGUGUUCAUGUCCUCCGGGCUAUGAAGUAAGUGACCCAAGUGACUGGAGCAAAGGUUGCAAGUCUAAGUUCAACCAAAGCUGUUCCCAACCACAGUAGGUAAAAUUUGUGGAGCUUCCCCAGACCGAUUACUAUGGGUUUGAUCUGAAUUAUAGCCAAUCUGUUUCACUAGAAGCUUGCAGGAAAAUCUGCUUGGAGGAUUGCCUUUGCCAAGCAUUAGCCUACAGGCUAACAGGAGAAGGGAUCUGUUACCCAAAAAGUACCCUUUUCGAUGGCUGCAAGUCCUCGAACUUCCUAGGGAGUACAUAUUUAGAACUGCCUGUAGAUGUCUAAACGUCAGCACCCACUAUUCUUAAUGGCUCUGAUAACAUAUGCAAGUCUAAGGAAGUUGAGGUCGUGCUGAGAUCUUCUUCUAUGUAUGACACUGCCAAUAAAGGGAUGAGAUGGGUUUAUCUCUACUCAUUUGUUUCCAUCAUUGGUGCAAUGGAAGUUCUCUUUAUUGUGUCGGGUUGGUGGUUUCUUUUCAGGGCACAUAAUGUGCCAUCUUCGGUUGAAGAUGGGUAUGCUCCGAUUUCAAGCUAUUUCAGGAGAUUUAGCUACACCGAACUUAAGAAGGCAACCGACAAUUUCAAAGUAGAGCUUGUAAGAAGAGGCUUUGGGGCUGUUUAUAAGGGUGUUUUGGAGGAUGAAAGGGUAGUAGCUGUGAAGAAAUUGGGAGAUGUCAUUCAAGGGGAAGAGGAGUUUUGGGCUGAAAUAAGCACUAUCCGAAAAAUGAGUUUUGACCCAAGAUAUUAAAAAAAAAAAAAUUCAUAAAAUAAACUUUGUUUCCGAAAUAAUACCUAAUUUAGUGUGUCUAUGACACGUGUUUUAAUAAAACUAAACAAAAAUAUUUUUAUAUCAAAUUAAAAAUAUCAAUGAUUUAAUUUCAUAUAUUAUUAUGUUUUAAAUUAAUAAGAUAAGUUUAUUAGCCACUCACAUAUUUUUAAUAAAUAUAAAAUCAAAAUAAUAUAAUAUUUUUAUUUAAAAAAAUUAAAAUUAAAUUCAUAGUGACUAUGACUUUGACAAUUUUAAAAUAAAUUUAAAGCAAUAGUUAUCAACUACGGUAUUAUGAUGUGGAGGCAUACGUAAUAUAAGCACACUAGAUUUAGUAUUAUUUUGGAAACAAGUUUAGUUUAUGGAUUUUUUAUUUUUAUUAAUAUCCUAAAACUGCCGAAAAAAUUAUCAUAUGAACCUUGUUAGAAUGUGGGGAUUCUGUUCAGAGGGUAGACACAGACUUGUAGUCUAUCAACAUGUAGAAAAUCUGUCACUGGAUAAGCAUCUCUUCAGCACGACUUUUCUGGGAUGGAAAUAGAGGUUUAACGUUGCAGUGGGGACAACACGGGGUUUAGCCUACCUUCAGCAGGAGUAUCUAGAAUGGGUUAUCCAUUGUGACGUGAGGCCUGAAAAUAUACUACUAGACAAUGGGUUUGAACCAAAAAUUGAAGAUUUUGGGCUAGUAAAGCUGUCCCGAAGAGGUGGCCUUGGUUCAGGAGAAUUCUCUCGGGUUCCGGGGACUAAAGGGUACAUGGCUCCAGAGUGGGCUAUGAAUCUUCCAAUUACGGCAAAAGUUGAUGCUUAUAGCUAUGGAGUUGCGGUUCUAGAGAUGGUGAGGGGAAUUUGGCUUUCAAACUGGGUGGGUGGGGAUGGUGAGGAGCAGGAAGCUGAGCUGACGAGGUUUGCCAGGCUAGUGAAACGGAAAAUUCAAUGUGGAGAAGACAAUUGGAUAGAGGAUACAUUGGACCCAAGAUCGAAGGGGAAGUUUAGCAGGCAGCAGGCAAUCGAAAUAGGUAUUUCUUGUGUGGAGGAAGAGAGAAGUAAAAGACCAACAAUGGCCACCGUAGUCCAAGUUCUACUGGAAUGUGAAGAUGAAGCCCAAGUAGACUUGGAGUAAAUGUCUUUUUUUUAUCUAUCGGCCUGUAUCUCUUGAACAAAUUACAUAGCUGUCAUCAGUUUUGGCUUUGUAGAGGGCAUUUGUCUAUUUAAUCCUAUAAUUCUCGUGAGAUACAUAAAAAGUAUUUAAUCCUACAAUCCUCAUGAGAUACAUAAAAAGUAUUUGUAAUAUCUCAUAUCAAAUAGAAAAGAAAGUUUUCUAUACUAUAAAAAUAUAGAUUUCUCUUUUAACUAUGUAGAUGCAUUUUAAAAUUAUGGAACCUUUUUGAAAUAGGCUUGAAGUAUCAUAUUAAAAUAAUUUAUUGGCUUUAAAUCUUUUUUUUUUUUCACUUUUUAUUUCUUAUAUUUUUCUCCUCUAUUUUCUUUCUCUUACAUUGUAUCUUAUAUUUUCAGGAAAAAAAAAUAUAGCCUAAAUAUUCCAAAUUAAAAUACAAAAUCAUGAACCGCAUUACUCUAGUAUGAAUAGUUAUAUCUGUGAAAUCAAGGUUUGGUUAAUCUUGAUUUUGAUGAUAACAAAACAAGGUUUAGAACUAAUGAUCAUAUUUCAAGUGUGAUUAGACAAGAUGAUUUCCAAAUUGGGAAUCACAAAGACAAAUCAAGCCAAAGAGAAAUCAUGAAAAAGAAGACCACCUCAAAGAGAAGUGUUUUUCAAAGACCCAAACUUCAUAAAAUCUCUUUGUAAGGUUGUUGAUGCACUAGGAUUUUCAUGCAUUACAUUUUUUACUUAUGCACCAAAAUCAUCUAAGAGUUAUUUUGUUUUUAAAUAUUUUAAGAAUUAGAUGAUUUCAUGUUUUCAACUAAAGCUUUGUGUUAAAUGUCUUUCAAACUUGUUUUAAAAGGUUUUAAGUUGAAAAAGUUGGUUGUUGAGCCAAAAAAACGGCUCAACCGGUCGAGAUCCGGGUCGACCCCCAACUCAACCGGUCGAGGGUGUAAAAAAAUUUCUCUUUCUUCCAGAAGGGUUGUUCAACCGGUUGAAGUCUGGUUGAUGCCCAACGGUCACCUAUCAAGCAUUAAAUGCUAAUGGCUAGUCAACCGGUCGACCCCUAGCUCGACCGAUCGAACCCCCAACGGCUAGUUUGACUUUUUUUCUUCUAUAAAAAGACUUCAAUCUUCAUUGUUUCAUGAGCUUAACCUUCCUAAAUCUUUUUUGAAUAUAUUUGAGCCUUGGAAGAGUAUUUUUUAGUUCACCAUUAUUUCAAAACUUGCAUAUCUUUAGUGCAUCAUUCAAUCUAAUUGUUCUUGUAUCAUUUGAGCUUAAAGUUCUUGUACUAGGAUUUUUGUGAGAUCUUUUGCUUGUAAAUCCUUAAAAGGAAGUUGUUCAAGAGUGUGAUAUCUCUUGAGAAGUGUAAAGGGUGUUUGGAGCCAAAAGUCCAAGAGGGUGAAUUGGAACCAUAAUCCAAUUGUAUUGUUUGAAGGCUUGGUUUGGAAGCCUUGAAUUAGUGGAACCUCAAGCUUGGGAUUGAAGCUAGAGGAGAGUGGAUGUAGGCCGGGUUGCGUCGAACCACCAUAAACUCUUGUGUUUGCUUUCUCUCUUCCCUACUCUUUAAUUUAUAUGCAAUUGUCUUAAUAUUGUUUAUCAUAUACUUGCAUAUAAUUGUCUCUUAAAUCCACUUGUGUAAAUUUGUGAAAAAAGACCAUCACCCUAUUCACCCCCCCUUUAGGGUGAUUACCAUAGGUUGGAUUAACCUAAUAUUCCUAACAAUAUAUUUAUCUAUCUUUAAGAAAUUUCAAUAAUACAAACGUAAUAUACAACAUGCUCUUUAACAUCAAUCAUUUUUGCUUUUCUUAAAAUCAAUUUUAAGGCUUAAUAUAAGGUGAAAAAUUAAUAUGUAACUUACCUAGACUUGGAUUGUGCUCGUUUUGCCAUAGUUUCACUUUUGUUAUGUUGGAUCUCAAAAAAUAUUAAAGAAAAUAUAAAAAAAAAUUAUUUUUUUUAUAUUUGAUUAUGUAUUUUUAAAAUUAUUUAAUAUUUAUAUAUAAUAAUAAUAAUAAUAAUAAUAAUAACUAAAUAGAAAAAUAAGACAAAGGAUAAAAUAUACAAUUUCUAACACAAGUCUAAAUGUGUUUUAUUGAUACAAAUGCACAACCAAUCAUCUAUCUACAUAUAUAUCUAUAUAUAUAUAUAUAAAUUUUAAUUAUUUUAUAAGGUAUUUUAUAUAAUAAUUAAAUUAAAAACAAAGGUAAAUUUAUAAGUAAAAUUAUCAAUAUUUUUAAAUAAAAAAUACUUAUGUAUCAUAUUUUUUUAUAUUGUUCAAUAUAUAUUAAUUUCUUUGUUAAAACUACUUUAAUAUAAAUAUUAUCAUUUUUUUUAAUUUUUUUAAAUAUUUUAUAUCAAUUUUCUCUUAUUAAUAUUUUUUUUAAUCAAAAUAUCCCACUCAUAUAUCAAUUGUAUUUGUACCUAGCAAAAAAUAUAAUAGAAAUAUUUUGUCCAAAAUAUUGGACAAAUGACUCAGUCGUCGAAAGAAUUUUGUCUUGUAGUUGAAGUUAAGGACAAGAAAUAUUGGACCUUGGACAGAAAUAUAACGAUUUACAGUUGUACCCAGUAAAAAUAAAUAAAUAAAUAAAGACCUGUUUAAUAAAGGGUCUUCGUCCAACGUAAUUAGACCAGACUUGAGUAGAUCAGUCUAAGUCAUCCUCCAAUGAUCAAGUCAAAAAAUGUUAGGCAUACCAAUGGGCUGGUCUGGUAGGCGCGGGUCGCAAUAUGCAUUUUCUUGCCUUAUCAUAUUCAAAAUUUCACGUGUAGUUUGAGUUUCCCACUUGCAUUUAAAAUUUCACACCUACCAAAUCUUUGUGUUUUAAGAGAUCCAACCAACCUAGUUUCUCUAAUGAAGACAAGAGAGCACCCUUGGUUUGUUAAUUGGAACCUCUUUGAGUGGGGUCUGGUCAGAUGAGACUAGAAUAAUACCAAAUGGAAGCUUUGUAGAGUCGACGGUCAAUGGUGAAGUGAUGGUGCCCAAUCAAAAGGCAAAUAAACGUUAUAACAAGAGGUCAUGACUCAUCACUCAUAAACUGGUAUAUCAAUGAGACAAUGACGCUAGCAAGUUUUCCGCGGGUCUUCCGUCGUCCCUAGCUUAAAAUAAGGUAAUAAGAUAAAAGAGUCGUCAUGUCUAUUAUAUAUAUUGGGUAAGGAGACGUGGUGUAAGGCAUAUUUCUGCAACUUGCUUCUUUAAAAAUUAAAAAUCCAUGCGAGUGUGUCCAAAUUUGGCAAGUGGGGUGGCGACUAGGUGGAGUCACAACGGUCAUUAUAUUCCAAACCCCAAUUAUUUAUUCUCAUGCUCGCCCACCAGUUCUUGUUUUUCUCUCUCUUCUUUUUUUAAAAAAAUCUUAAUUAUAUUUAAAAUAAAUAUAAUUUGUAUGUAAAUAAAUAUUAUAACUUUUUAUGAUUUAUUUUUAUAAGAUAUAUUUUCAUUUUAUAUUUGUUAAAAACUAAAAAAUAUUUUUUAUUUAAUUAUAUAUAUAUAAAUUGGAUGAGACAAUACAAUAUCUCAAUUACCCCCAUCAAAAUAAGAAAAUUCAAAUCUAUCACCAAUUUUAUAUGUCUUAUCCCAAACUCAUCUAAUGUCACCUAAAGUACGUGUAUCCGCGAAAACAUGUUUCAGGUCCAUUCCUAAUUGAGACAUCUUUUUUGACGGUUUGUUCACCUCAAAGCUCAAUGCCUGACAACCAAGUGACCAACCAAGCACGUCUUCUCGAAGAAAGGACCAAGCAUUUUCUGAGAACAGCUCAAGAUGGUGAGUUUAAGACCAAAAUAAUCUAUUUAUAAAAAAAAAUUGACAAGAAUAGUACCCAUCUCAAAAUAUUUAUCAAAGUAAUAUUUUGUAUUCACAUUUAUAUGAAUUUUUUUUUUAAGUGUAAAAAAUCACCGUUGAUAACUGUGGUUUUAAAAGUUUCAAAAAUAUCAUUAAAACUACAGUUUGUGACUGUGGUUUUACAAUUUCCUUAAAACCAUAAUUACUAAUUAUGAUUUCAAAAUUAUUUUUAACCCACCCCCGUUUGAAUGGUACUAUGAUUUUUAAAAUAUUCUUUAUCAUAAUAAUUAUAAAACUUUCACACUUUACCAAAAUUUCUUAACAAUGUACCAAAUUUUCUUAAAGUUCGUUUCGGAGUGGAGAAAUCUUUAUACAAUUUUCCAUUAUCAGUUUAAAACUAUUUUUCUUUUACAAAUUAUCCUUAAUAAAUUUUUUUUUACGACUGUUUUAAAAUUAUAUAUAUAUAUAUAUAUAUAUAUAUAUAUUUAUUUAUUUAUUUUUUAUAUUUUCCUUGAAAUUUUGAGAAAAUAAUUUUGCCUACAUGCAUUCCUAUAAAAAUUUAUAUAUUUAUGGUAAAUAAAAUAUUUAUUUUUUUUAUGAAUUUUAUCACAUAUGAAUUAAAGAAAAUUAUUUUUUCAUAUUAUUUUUAAAUUUUAAAAUAAUUAAACAAAUUGUUUAUAUUAUUUAAAAUUUUACAUUUUCAUAUAAAAAAUAAUGUCAAUGAUUAUGAUUUUAGGUUAUUCCUUAAUAAUUGUGGUUUACUAGUUAUUAUGAUAAAAAAUAUUUUACCAUUAAAAUGGAGGUGGAUUAAAAAUAAUUUUGAAACCACAGUUACUAACUGUGGUUUUAAGAAAAAUUGUAAAACCACAAUCGCAAAUUGUGGUUUUAAGUAUAUUUUUUAAACUUUUAAAAUCAUAGUUAUCAAUAGUGGUUUUUUAUACUUAAAAAAAAAUCAUGUGGAUGCUCACGUGCAUACAAAAGAUUACUUUGACAAAUAUUUUCUUAAUGAUGCCUUGGUUGGUAUAAUAAUGCCUUCCUCCUUAAUUUCCUACGUGAAGUAGCGGAUAUAAAACCAACAUUUUCUUAACCAACCAAAGAUGCAUUUCUGAACCAAACUUGGAAAGACAUGGGAAACCUAUUUUCCUCCAUUCUUCUCAUCCUUCUUAUCUCUUUCUUCUUCUCUUUUACAACUUCCAAAACCCAGAACUUUUUGCAAAGAGGCUCCUCUCUCUCUGUCGAAGAUGAUUCGGACGACUACAUCACCUCUCCAGACAAAUCAUUCACUUGUGGUUUCUAUGGGAUGGGGGAAAAUGCUUACUGGUUUUCAAUAUGGUUCACAAAUUCAAAGGAAAGAACUGUUGUUUGGAUGGCCAAUCGAAAUAGACCUGUCAAUGGCCGGGGCUCCAGAAUUUCGCUGCAGAGAGAUGGCACCAUGAUGCUAAGGGAUGCUGAUGGCUCAACUGUUUGGGAGACUAACACUACCUCUACCGAUGUUGAUCGAGCAGAGCUUUUGGACACUGGAAACCUUGUUCUCAAGGACCCACGAGGUAAAAUUCUGUGGCAAAGCUUUGAUUUUCCAACUGAUACUCUUCUGCCAAACCAAAUCUUUACCACGAGCACAAAGCUGAUCUCUAUACUCAGAAAAGGGGAUUUUUCUUCUGGUUACUUUAACUUCCUUUUUGACAAUGACAAUGUCUUGAGAAUGAUGUAUGAUGGGCCUGAGAUUUCAAGCUUGUAUUGGCCUAAUCCUGAUUGGGAUGUUUUCCAAAAUGGAAGAACAAACUAUAACAGUAGCAGAAUUGCUGUUUUAGAUGAAAUGGGGAGGUUUCUUUCGAGUGAUAGAAUGUCUUUCAAAGCUUCUGACAUGGGUUUUGGAGUCAAAAGGAGGCUGACAAUGGACUACGAUGGAAACCUGAGACUCUAUAGCUUAAACCAUUCCACGGGAUUAUGGAAUAUAUCAUGGGAAGCUCUUAGGCAACAGUGUAAAGUGCAUGGGCUAUGUGGUAGAAAUGGGAUUUGUAUUUAUACACCAGAACCCAAGUGUUCAUGUCCUCCGGGCUAUGAAGUAACUGACCCAAGUGACUGGAGCAAAGGUUGCAAGUCUAAGUUCAACCAAAGCUGUUCCCAAACACAGCAGGUAAAAUUUGUGGAGCUUCCCCAGACCGAUUACUAUGGGUUUGAUCUCAAUUACAGCCAAUCUGUUUCAAUGGAAGCUUGCAGGAAAAUCUGCUUGGACGAUUGCCUUUGCCAAGGAUUCGUCUACAGGCUAACAGGAGAAGGGAACUGUUUCGCGAAAAGUACCCUCUUCAAUGGCUUCAAGUCCUCCAACUUCCCUGGGAGUUUAUAUUUAAAACUGCCUGUGGAUGUCGAAACGUCAGCACCCACUGUCCUUAAUGGUUCUGAUCUCAUAUGCGAGUCCAAGGAGGUUGAGGUUGUGCACAGUUCUUCUGUGUAUGACACUGCCAGUAAAAAGAUGAGAUGGGUUUAUCUCUACUCAUUUGCUUCUGCCAUUGGUGCCAUAGAAGUUCUCUUUAUUGUGUCAGGUUGGUGGUUUCUUUUCAGGGUACAUAAUGUGCCAUCUUCAGCUGAAGAUGGAUAUGGUCCGAUAUCAAGCCCGUUCAGGAGAUUUAGCUACACCGAACUCAAGAAGGCAACCAACAAUUUCAAAGUGGAGCUUGGAAGAGGAGGCUUUGGGGCUGUUUAUAAGGGUGUUUUGGAGGAUGAAAGGGCAGUAGCAGUGAAGAAAUUGGGAGAUGCCACUCAAGGGGAAGGGGAGUUUUGGGCUGAAGUAAGCACAAUCGGAAAAAUCUAUCACAUGAACCUAGUCAGAAUGUGGGGAUUCUGUUCAGAGGGUAGACACAGACUUGUAGUCUACGAGCAUGUAGAAAAUCUGUCACUGGAUAAGCAUCUCUUCAGCACGAGUUGUCUGGGAUGGAAAGAGAGGUUUAACGUUGCAGUGGGGACAGCGAGGGGUUUAGCCUACCUUCACCAUGAGUGUCUAGAAUGGGUUAUCCACUGUGACGUGAAGCCUGAAAAUAUACUUCUAGACAACGGGUUUGAACCAAAGAUUGCAGAUUUUGGGCUAGCCAAGCUGUCUCAGAGAGGUGGCCCCGGUUCAGGAGAAUUCUCUCGGAUUCGGGGGACUAAAGGGUACAUGGCUCCAGAGUGGGCUAUGAAUCUUCCAAUUACGGCAAAAGUUGAUGUUUAUAGCUAUGGAGUUGUGGUUUUAGAGAUGGUGAGGGGAAUUCGGCUUUCGAAAUGGGUGGGUGAGGAUGGCGAGGAGCAGGAAGCUGAGCUGACGAGGUUUGUCAGGGCAGUGAAAAGGAAAAUUCAAUAUGGCGAAGACAAUUGGGUAGAGGAUACAGUGGACCCAAGAUUGAAGGGGAAGUUUAGCAGGCAGCAGGCUGCCAUGUUGGUCGAAAUAGGUAUUUCUUGUGUGGAGGAAGAUAGAAGUAAACGACCAACAAUGGCCACCGUAGUGCAAGUUCUACUGGAAUGUGAAGAUGAAGCCCAAGUCCAAACCCUGGACUUGGAGUAAAUCUCCUUUUUUUUAUUUACUGAAUAAGUUAUGGGGCCUGUAUCUCCUGAACAAAUUAGAUAGUUGUCAUUGGUUUUUCUUGUUUUCCUUUUGUAUGGGGUCUGUAGCCACUACAUCAAUUUGGAAUCUUACAAGUUCAUGGUCUUGGGUAGCAUAAAAUAUUCACCUCCCAUAUAAUAAUAGAAGUACACAGAAUGCAGAUAAUAAGAUUUUUUUUUUUUCUCCCAAAAAGAAAAGAAAAAAAGAAAAAAAAAAGAGACAGAAGUCUGUAAAAUAGUAUUGGGUGAAAAGAAAUUUAGGCCCAGAAUUUAACAGUUUCAUGCAAUCACAGAAAAGGUCCUAUCAAUGAAACUGAAAGCAUCACAAAAUCCUGUUGAAUUAAAACCUAACUUCAGCCAGCAAAAUGCCUAAGAAUUAAGGACACAUAAAAAACAGAAAAUUCAAGUGGCCUGGAGCGAUGGAAAUGGUAGUAAAGGUGCAGUCAUUACUGAAUCAAUAAAAAAGAAAAAAAUAGUUUUAAUUCCAAAUUCAUACAUAAAGUUUUGGUAACAGUUUGUUUGAUGAAAUUGAAAAUUAAGUAGAGAGAAAUAUAUUGCAUCAUGCUAAUAUAAAAUGCCUACUUACAUAAUUUGUGUACUAAAACUGUUGGAUGAGGCCCAAUUGAAAAUUUAUGAUUUCUGGAAUGUUGUAAAGACCAUAACUUGUCAGUAACUAAUAAAGGACAACCAUAUAAGUAAAUAACAAAAAUUGUUUAUGCCAACUAUUCUUGCUUGGAUAAUCUGGAGCUGAGAACCAUUAUUUAUGGCGUUAUUUUAGUUUUUGACGUCAUGCUCCUCAAGCAACAUCUUAUAUGACUAUUUUUAAUUUUUUAGGAUAAGGUCCAACAUAAACUAGUGCAAGUGUGAAGAUUGCAUUUUGUUAUGCCUCAGACACUCUGAAGUAGAGGGAAUCACACUCUCCAUUUGACUUGACAUGUGAUAUGCUGGAAACCUAAAACAUGGCCUUGGUUAGGCUGGUGUCAUUUUUCACUACUCAAAAGGUUCCUUGCCCACAUGCUCAAGAGUUAUAUGUAUAGUCUAUAUAACUAACUGACACUUGUGAUUCAACACAAAUGCAAUGACACUUUCCUUGAGAAUACCUGAAAUAAGAUGAAUAACAACAAAUGUCACACCAAAGCAAAUAGGUCGUGCCAAUCAAGAAUUCUGUUUCAUAAUUGUCUGCAGGUUGAUGCGCUCAUGGGUGAUGUGGAAAGGGAAGUAUCCUUGACCAGUGUGAUCCCUUGAGACUCAAAUCAUGAUUCUAUAAUUUAAAGAAUGAUGAAAUGUGUUUUUUUUUUUUUUUGAGUAAAUUAUGUAAAAGUGCAUUAAAAAAAUAUAAUUUUUUUUCAAAAGUAAUCCAAUAAACAUGCAUUCAAAUAGUAAUUUCAAUAAAUAUCCGUGAUUGUAUUUGAUUGUUUUCUCUUUCUUGAUUAACCUAUUUGUUUUUUUUCUUUUUUGGGUUUUUUUUUGUUUUUUUCAAACCUUGAAAUGACAUGUCAAAAGUUAGUAAUUACUUUUAAUGUUGACAUGUGCCUAAUCAACAUAUCACAUUAUUUUUAUUAUUAUUCUUUUUUCUUUAUUUUACCUAUAAAAUAAUCUACUUUUUAAUUUUUUUUUUUCACUUUUUCUCCUUUUCAUAAUUAUUGAUUUUAAUUAUUUAGAUACAUUUUAAAUAUAUAAUAAUAAUAAUAAUAAUAACGACAACAAUAAUAACAAUAACAACAACAAUAAUAAUAUAUGAUAAAUAAUUAAUAGCAAAAAAUUAAUAUGCAAAUUUAGAAGUUUAAAAUAUAUAUAUAAGAUUUUAUAUAUUCAUAUUAAAUAAAAUAUUUAUUUAUUUGAUAAAUCUUAUUAUAUAAAUUAAAUAAAAAUAGGUUUAUCAUAUUAUUUUAUUAUUUCUAUUUUUUUUUAAAUUUAAACUUUUUAUGUGAAAAUCAAAAAUCAAUUAUCGUGAUUUUUUAACUUUUUUACUUAUGAUUCUUACUUGAAUGUAGUUUUAACUUUUUUUUAGUUAAAAUCAUUAAUAUUUUUAUUUUAAAAAAUAAAAACUUGAUUAUGGUUAUAAUAUUUUACUUUAUUAAAAUUUUAUUUUUUUAUUCAUAUAAAAUAAAAAUAAAAUAUGCUUUUAAAAAAAUUGUAUUUAAUCAUUGAUAUUAAUUUUCUUUUAAAUUUAUUAAAAAUUAAAAUUUUUGUAUAAUGAAAUUGCGCAUUAAUCAACACAACUAUUGAAAAAGAAUGUAUCAUUCUUUUAUGAAAAAUGUAACACUAAAGUUUGUUAAAAAUACCAUGAAAAUGUUACUUUUAACACAUUUUAGUGUUACUUUUUUCAUAAAAGAUUGGUACAUUUUUUCUAAUGGUUGUGUUGAUCAAUGCACAAUGUCAAUAUAUAAAAAUUUUAAUUUGUAAUAAGAUUAAGAAAAAUGAACAUAAAUGAUUAAAUACAAUUUUUAUGAAAAAUAUAAAUAAAAAAUAAAUUUUUUUAAUAAAGCAUAAUGUUAUCAUCACAACCAAAUUUUCUUCUUUAAUUACAAAUAUUAAACAUUUUAGCCAAGAAAAAAAAUUUAUGUCCUAAAUCUCAAUUGUGAUUUAGGCUAGUUAAAUUUAUAAGCAAAAAGCUAAAACUAUAAUUAUCAAUUAUGAUUUUCACAUGAAAAUUUAAAGUAAAAAAUAUAAAUAAUAUGACAAUAUAAUAAGAUUUAUAAAAUAAAUAAAUAUUUUAUUUAGUAUGAAUAUAGAAAAUUUUAUAUCCUAAAUCUCUAAAUUUGUUCAUCAUGUAUUUAUUUUUAUAUUAAAUUUAUUAUCAUUAAUUAUUUAUUAUAUAUUAUUAUUUUAUGUUUAAAAAUGUCCAUAAAUAAUUAAAAUUAAUAAAUAUAAAAAGCUGAAAUAUUAGAAAAUUUUCAUCAAGUUAACAUAUUAAAAAAAAACAAAAAUAAGAUGAGGAUAUUAAUCAUGUAGUAUGGUGAUUGCUGCAUGUCAUUUUUUUUUAAACAAUAAUAGUUAUGAUGAGUUCAUUUGUCUUGUCAAAGUAAAUAAUAAAAAGAAAAAAAAAAGUGAUAAUAAAAAGAAAAAAAAAGUGAUAGUUGAGGGAGGUGAAAGAAGAGGGAUUGAGGGUAAGUUUGAAAUAUCGAUUAUUUUCAUUAUUUGAGUGCUUUGGGAUUAUUUUCCCUUCUUUGAAAAUCAAAAAUCAAAGUUCUAAAAAAUGCAAUUUCUUUUUUUUAAAUGAUACAUGAUUACAUGAUUCCCCCUUUUUUUUUCAUCUUCUCAGUGCAUUUGGAAGUGCAUUUUCUGACCAGGUGUUUGUUCAGGGGUAAAUGCCUAAAACACAAAUCUGGACGAUUCGGUUAGAUCAAUUAUGCUGCAAGGCAUCCUUUCAACACGUACAAGAUAGUUAUCCAGUACUCGUGUAACUUAAAAACUUUUUAUUUGAGUUUCAUGCCAUAUUUUUUCCCUAAGCAAAUGAAAUAAUUCUACUGCUUCUUAUUAAGCGUUUAGAAUGGGUUAAAAUCCUAUAUCUGAAUGUGGGGAACAAUUUGCUCAGUGAAUGAAUUGCAUCAUCUUUACAUUUUAUUUCUUCCACUUUUGCUGCUGAAAAUAUGGGUGGUCUCAUCCGAAGUUGGGACAUGUUUCGGGGCCACUGCAUUCGAAUGAAUGGACUAGUGACUUCAAAUGCAAAUUUUGGACCACUAAAAGCUCCUAAGGAAUGGAGUUGUGAUUUCAAAUGCCAUAGAAGAUGUCUUUUUAUUUUUUAUAUAUUUUUUUUCAGCCCGGCGAUACAAUGUUGUUUAUGGGACAUCAAAUCUACUAGAAGGUCCUGCUUGAUUUAUAGGAAGAAAAUGUGAAGAAAAUUAUUUUCCUUAUAACUAGUGAGGUAGGUGGGUGCAACUUGUGCUCUAAGCAGCUUUCAUUGAAUAUUUGACAAAAUUAUCCUAUAAAUAAUUAGCAUCUUCCUCUAUGUGUCAUUUCCAGACUCAAGAUCCUUUCGUCGAUCAAGACAAACAUAUAACCCAUCUGGGAUUACUCUAUUUGGACCAAGAUAAGCUCCGUCUGGCACCUGAAAUGAGAAGUUUUCCUUCUUCCAUAAUGCCAGACGAAAUGGACAGACCAAGCCGACUAGACCUUUUAGACAGACAAAUCAAUCCAGUCAAGUCUUCAAGAUUUCUGAAAUGCGUGGUUAAUCACGCCUGAUGUCUUAGCAAUGGACUAGACGCUUGAUGUCUAAGCGACGACUAGAUGUCUGGUGUCUGAAUGAUGACCUAUACGCUUGAUGUUUGAGCAACGAACUAGACGUCAUUUACACCCAAAAGUCAAUGCCAAUCAAUUGUUACACACAAUCCCAUAUAUUGGCAAGCUAAAUGGACAGUCAACUACAUGAUCCAAGAUUUUGGCAUGAUAGUCAGCAAAUGGCAUAAGUCAGUAGCCCUUACUUGAUAUGAUUGCCCAUUUCACACAAUAGUGACAACGUUGACUGUCCUAGCAAGGCUCGAUUUUCGUCCUAAUGACAAUCAUCAUUACAAGAAAGACAAGAGUGCAUAAUCAAUGCUAUAAUCACGAUGUCAUCAGUUCUAUAUAAACCCCUCAAAAAGCACGAAUAAGAUAUACACUCAUUCUCUCCCACAAAAAAUAGUUAAAGCUAUCCUCAAUGAUUGCUGAUUUAAGCUUUGGAGGGGUGUGUCUGAACCACAUGUCCGGACAUCCUUCUGUGUAAGGAAGAAGUCCACCUAACUCCAGUGAAACUAGACGGACCUGAAUCCAAUUGGCUCGACACCAACAUAUGUGAUUCAAAACUCACAUGGAAGGCUCCAAUCAGUAAAGAGUCCUUCUCCAACGUGAUUAUCUCAGCAUGAGCCAUCAUCCCAUGACCAAGAGUGAAUACAAAAAUGUUAGGUAGGCCGCAUACAAAAGUACCCAUCGUUCUAUUAGGCUGUCGUAAUAUGCAUUAUCUAUUCGAAUUAUAUUCAAAGUUUCACCACUCGUAAAUAGGGCUGCAUAUUUCAAAAUUCCACACCUACCCCAUCUUCCAGUGUUUUAAGAGUUUCACACAAGUUUCUCUAAAUCUUCCUCAUUCUUAGCUGGCAAAUGUUGACACCUUCCUUUAGGAAUAAUACAAUAUCAAUGAUUCAAUAGAUCUCCUUUAACAACUUGAUGAAAAUCAUUCCCUUUCAUUUUCAUAAUUAGGUAUUGUCGAAUGAGGUUACUAGAAUAAAUGGAACUUGGGUUCACAUUGAUUAAUGGUAAAAUAGUGCCAAGUGAAAAUGCAAAUAACACAAGAUUAAUGAGAAGAAGAAAACACAUCAUUUUUCAUUACAACUAAAAAUGGAAGAUUCAUGGUGGUGAUUGAAAUGAAAUCUCCAAAUAGAGAUUGGCUAGUUAUAUUGUGACCUUGGUGGUUUGGAAAUCCAAGAUCUACCUUGUUGAGAAUGAUCAAAUUUUAGGGGUGUUACCAAUAUUGUCCCUCAUACUAAUGACCAAUUCAAGGCAUUGAAAUAUAAAAAAUGAAGCAGGUAGGAGUGGAUAUUAAAAAAAGAAGGGUGUCUUAGCUUCAUUGCCGACAAGUCUUUAGAGGAUCUUCAUCUAUAACUUACAUCAAACAAGAAGGGGUCAUGAAUUCAUUUGUAGUUUUCCUCAAAUAACAAGACUUGUUGACAUAUAUAUAAUCAGCGGGUAAACCAAUGGCUAGCAUCAUUGCUGAUGUAUGUAGCUAGCUUACGUAAGAUAAAGAACUAUCAUUAUCCAUGUGUAACUUAUGAGGUAGGAAUAGGCCUUCACAAAAAAGAACUUAUCUAAGGCAUUAUUUCUAGGGUGGUGUUUGUUGAAUUUUGAAUUUUGUCUUAGUAUUUGCUGGAAUUUGAAUUUUGAAGUUAAAUAUUGCAGUUGGAGUCUUGCACAAAAUCUACAGCAUCCAAAUAUUUUCUUGUUUUUUAUUUGGUCAAGAUUUGGUUUCUAUUUUAUAGAAAGUAGUUGUUCAUCAUCUAGCAACUUGAUUUUACGCUAUUCUAAUGUCAUUUUAGUUACAAGCUCAUGUAUAAAUUUAACACUCUUUAUCAAUAAAAUGUGUGUUCCAGGAACCCAAAAAUAUAUAUUCUUCAUAAGUGUUUAGUCAAAUCAACAUUGUGGUAUCAAAGCAGAAGUUAUCGUGAAGGGCCAAUGAGUUGAGUGAGCCUAAAUACCUUGAGAGUGCCUAAACACCACAGACCCGUGAGGUGAGUGAACCCAAAACACCACAAGUGAACCUAAACGCCUUCUAAAAUCAUCUAGCAAUGAAGGAGUCAAGUGUCACAGCUGCACCAUCAAUUCUUGAUGGAGACAAUUAUGAAACUUGGGUUGUUAGAAUGACAAUUCAUCUACAAGUACUUAAUGUUUGGGAAGUAGUGGAAGAAAAUUAUGAAGUUCCUCCACUAUGAGCCAAUCCAACUGUGGCUCAAAUGAAGUUGCAGAAAAAAAGAAAAACAAGAAAGGCUAAAGCGAAGGCUUUCUUGUUUGCUGCAAUUUCACCAUCAAUUUUGAUAAAAAAAUCAUGAAAAUUGAUUUAACUGCAAAAAUUUCGGAGUGGCUUAAGGAGGAAUACAAAGGAGAUGAAAGAAUCAAGAACAUGCAAGUGAUGAACUUGAUUUGAGAAUUUGAAAUGAAGAAAAUGAGGGAGUCUGGUGUUGUUAAAGUCUAUGCUACACAAUUUCUUUCAAUAGCAGACAAAGUUAGGCUGUUUGGAAAAGAAUUUUCCAAUCAGAAGAUUGUUCAAAAGAUAUUGGUUACACUUCUAGAGAAAUAUGAAGCUACAAUUUCCUCUUUGGAGAAUUCAAAGGAUCUGUCAACUAUUAGCUUGAUAGAAUUAUUACAUUCCUUGGAGAUUGUGGAACAAAAAAGGUUCAUGAGACAAGGAGAUACUAUAAAAGGAGCAUUUCAAGCAAGAAUGCAGAAAAAUGCAGGCCAUAAAAAUGGAGAGAAGAAAAAAAAAAAAAAAACAAGCUAAACAAUAUCAACCAGAAAAAUGGAGUUUUUCCACCUUGUCUUCAUUUUCCACAAAAAUGUUGGUAGGAACCAGAUGUGAAAUGUAACAAGUGUGGUAAACAAGGACAUGUGGAGAUGAUUUGCAAAAAUCAAUAACAAGAAGAAACUAGUGCAACAGUUGACCAAUGCCAAGAGGAGCAAUUGUUUGCAACAACGUGUUUUGCUAAUAAAAACACCUCUGAAAGUUGGCUUAUGGAUAGUGGUUGUACAAACCACAUGACAAAUAAUCAAGAUCUUUUUAGAGAACUUGAUAGAACAAUUAUUUCCAAAGUUAGAAUUGGAAAUGGUGUACUUAUUCUAGUGAACGGAAAAUGAACGGUUGCUAUCGAAAGCCAAAUAGGUUUGAAACUCAUUUAUGAUGUUUUGUUUGUGCCUGACAUUGACCAAAACUUAGUCAGUGUUGGACUUGUUGAGAAAGGAUCUAAAGUUUAUUUUGAAGAUAGGAAUUGUAUUAUUAAGGAUGCUGAAGGCAAAGAGGUGUUUAACAUAAAACUAAACUGCAAGAGUUUUGCUUUGAAUUUACUGGAAAAUGAGCAUGUUGUUGUUUUACAACAAGAUAGUACAAAAAUGCUUUGGCACAGAAGACUCGGGCACUUUAAUCAUGAUGUUGUGCUCUACAUGAAAAAAACUCAAAUAGUUGAAGAACUUCUUGAAUUUGAAAAAGAUCUUCCUAUAUGUGCUACUUGUCAAUAUGGGAAGCAAACUAAACUUUCAUUUCCAAAGAAAACAUCCUGGAGAGCAACCCAAAAACUGCAACUGGUGCAUACUAAUGUUGGUGGACCUCAAAAGACACCAUCCUUGAAAGGGAGAAACAAUGUGGGGCUGGCCAAUAAGUUCAAGGCUGAAAUGAAGCAAGUCCUGGAAAUGACAGACCUUGGAGAGAUGACUUAUUUCUUGGGAAAAGAAGUACAUCAUCAACAACAUGAUAUUUUCAUCUGUCAGAAAAAAUAUGCAAAAGAAAGAUUGAAGAAAUUCAGAAUGGAAGAAUGCAAGCCUACAUCAACUCCUAUGAACCAAAAAUAGAAUUUUUGUAAGGAAUAUGGUACUGAAAAGGCCGAUGAAGGAAAUUUUAGAAGCAUGAUUGGAUGCUUAAUGUACUUGACCGCAAUAAGACCAGAUAUAAUGUACAUCGUAAGUCUACUUUUGAGGUACAUGCAUUGUGCAAGUGAAAUUCAUUUUCAGACAACAAAACGUGUGUUGAGAUAUGUUAAAGGUACAAUUGAUUAUGGUAUUAAGUUCAAUCAAGUUAAAAAAUUCAUUCUUCAUGGAUAUUCCGAUAGCGAUUAGGUUGGAUGUGUUGAUGAUAUGCGAAAUACUUCAGGCUGUUUUAGUUUUGGUUAUAGUAUAUUUUCUUGGAGUUCAAAGAAACAAGAAGUUAUGGCUCAAUCCACAGCUGAGGCGGAGUAUGUUGCUGUUGUUGAUGCUGUAAAUCAAGUUUUCUGGUUUAGAAAGUUGCUGACAGAUCUGGACAUGAAGCAAGAAAUGAGUACUCAAGUGUUUGUUGACAACCAAGCUGCUAUAUCUAUUGCCAAUGACCCGGUUUUUCAUGGCAAAACAAAGCACUUCAAGAUUAAACUAUACUUUCUGACCGUGGUGCAGAAGGAAGGAAAUGCGCAACUAGUCUAUUGUAACAUGGAGAGUCAAAAUGCUGAUAUAUUAUCUAAAUCUCUUCAUAAAGCAAGGUUUGAGUUUCUACGUGGAAGACUUGGAGUUUGCAUCUACUAAGUCAAGGAGGAGUGUUGAAUUUUGAAUUUUUCCUUAGUAUCUGUUGGAUUUGAAUUUUAAAGUUAAAUAUUGCAGUUGGACUCUUACACAAAAUCCGCAACAUCCAAAUAUAUAUAUAUUUUUUUUGUCAAGAUUUGGUUUCUAUUUUAUAGGAAGUAGUUGUUCAUCAUCAAUAAAAUAUUUCGUCAAGAUUUGAUUUUCUGUCAUUCUAAUGUCAUUUCAGUUACAAUCUCACGUAUUAAUUCAAUAUUCUUUAUCAAUAAAAUGUGUGUUUUAGCACCCAAGAUUUGGUUUCUAUUUUAUAGGAAGUCAGAUCCACAGCGUUCACAGUAUUAGACAAAGGGCACGUUCAGAUGUGACCCUUUCCACAGUCAAAUUGGAUAAAUAUGUGUCGUCUCCCUAAGGUUUCUCAAUAAUUCAUCUCCGUUAAAAAAUCUUGAGGCAUCAUCACUCUGUGGUUGACAGUUUGUUUGAAAAGCUGAUCUGGCAUGGAUAAAAUCUUGGGCUAUCUUUACUCUGUGGUUGACAGCUUGUUUGAAAAGCUGAUCAGGAUAGUGGAUAGACUUAAUUGGUGCCAUGUCUUCCCUCCUUUCAUACUUGAACUAGUGGAUUUAAAUCCAACAUUUUCUUAACCAACCAAAGAUACAUCGCUAAACAAAACCAUAGGAAAGACAUGGGAAACCUUAGUCCUACAUCUUCAAAGUUUCCUUCCAUUCUUCUUAUCAUUCUCAUAUUUCUCAUCUCCUUCUCUUUUGCAACUUCCAACACCCAGAACCUUUUGCGAAGAGGCUCCUCUCUCUCUGUCGAAGAUGAUUCCGACUACAUCACCUCCCCAGACAAAUCAUUCACUUGUGGUUUCUAUGGGAUGGGGAAAAAUGCUUACUGGUUUUCGAUAUGGUUCACAAAUUCAAAGGAAAAAACUGUUGUUUGGACGGCCAAUCGAAACACACCUGUCAAUGGCCGGGGCUCCAGAAUUUGGCUGCAGCGAGAUGGCACCAUGAUUCUAAGGGCUGCUGAUGGCUCAACUGUUUGGGAGACGAACACUACCUCCACAGAUGUUGAUCGAGCAGAGCUUUUGGACACUGGAAACCUUGUUUUGAAGGACCCGCGGGGUAAAGUUCUAUGGCAAAGCUUUGAUUUUCCUACUGAUACUCUUCUGCCAAACCAAAUCCUUACUACAAGCACAAAGCUGAUCUCUAUAAUCAGAAGAGAGGAUUUUUCCUCUGGUCAUUUUUACUUCUUUUUUUAUAAUGACAAUGUCUUGAGAAUGAUCUAUGAUGGGCCUGACAUUUCAAGCUUGUAUUGGCCUAAUCCUGAUUGGGAUGUUUUCCAAAAUAGAAGAACAAACUAUAACAGUAGCAGAAUUGCUGUUUUAGAUGAAAUGGGGAGGUUUCUUUCGAGUGAUAGAAUGUCUUUCAAAGCUUCUGACAUGGGUUUUGGAGUCAAAAGGAGGCUGACAAUGGACUACGAUGGAAACCUGAGACUCUAUAGCUUAAACCAUUCCUCGGGAUUAUGGAAUAUAUCAUGGGAAGCUCUUAGCCAACAGUGUAAAGUGCAUGGGCUAUGUGGUAGAAAUGGGAUUUGUAUUUAUACACCAGAACCCAAGUGUUCAUGUCCUCCGGGCUAUGAAGUAAGUGACCCAAGUGACUGGAGCAAAGGUUGCAAAUCAAAGUUCAACCAUAGCUGUUCCCAACCACAGCAGGUAAAAUUUGUGGAGCUUCCCCAGACCGAUUACUAUGGGUUUGAUCUCGAUUAUAGCCCAUCUGUUUCAUUAGAAGCUUGCAGGAAAAUCUGCUUGGAGGAUUGCCUUUGCCAAGGAUUCGCCUACAGGCUAACAGGAGAAGGGAACUGUUUCGCAAAAAGUACCCUUUUCAAUGGCUACAAGUCCUCCAACUUCCCUGGGAGUUUAUAUUUAAAACUGCCUGUGGAUGUCCAAACGUCAGCACCCACUGUCCUUAAUGGUUCUGAUCUCAUAUGCGAGUCCAAGGAGGUUGAGGUUGUGCACAGUUCUUCUGUGUAUGACACUGCCAGUAAACAGAUGAGAUGGGUUUAUCUCUACUCAUUUGCUUCUGCCAUUGGUGCCAUAGAAGUUCUCUUAAUUGUGUCAGGUUGGUGGUUUCUUUUCAGGGUACAUAAUGUGCCAUCUUCAGCUGAAAAUGGAUAUGGUCCGAUAUCAAGCCAGUUCAGGAGAUUUAGCUACACCGAACUCAAGAAGGCAACCAACAAUUUCAAAGUGGAGCUUGGAAGAGGAGGCUUUGGGGCUGUUUAUAAGGGUGUUUUGGAGGAUGAAAGGGCAGUAGCAGUGAAGAAAUUGGGAGAUGCCACUCAAGGGGAAGGGGAGUUUUGGGCUGAAGUAAGCACAAUCGGAAAAAUCUAUCACAUGAACCUAGUCAGAAUGUGGGGAUUCUGUUCAGAGGGUAGACACAGACUUGUGGUCUACGAGCAUGUAGAAAAUCUGUCACUGGAUAAGCAUCUCUUCAGCACGAGUUGUCUGGGAUGGAAAGAGAGGUUUAACGUUGCAGUGGGGACAGCGAGGGGUUUAGCCUACCUUCACCAUGAGUGUCUAGAAUGGGUUAUCCACUGUGACGUGAAGCCUGAAAAUAUACUUCUAGACAACGGGUUUGAACCAAAGAUUGCAGAUUUUGGGCUAGCCAAGCUGUCUCAGAGAGGUGGCCCUGGUUCAGGAGAAUUCUCUAGGAUUCGGGGGACUAAAGGGUACAUGGCUCCAGAGUGGGCUAUGAAUCUUCCAAUUACGGCAAAAGUUGAUGUUUAUAGCUAUGGAGUUGUGGUUUUAGAGAUGGUGAGGGGAAUUCGGCUUUUGAAAUGGGUGGGUGAGGAUGGCGAGGAGCAGGAAGCUGAGCUGACGAGGUUUGUCAGGGCAGUGAAAAGGAAAAUUCAAUAUGGAGAAGACAAUUGGAUAGAGGAUACAGUGGACCCAAGAUUGAAGGAGAAGUUUAGCAGGCAGCAGGCAGCCAUGAUGGUCAAAAUAGGUAUUUCUUGUGUGGAGGAAGAUAGAAUUAAACGACCAACAAUGGCCACCGUAGUGCAAGUUCUACUGGAAUGUGAAGAUGAAGCCCAAGUCCAAACCCUGGACUUGGAGUAAAUGUCCUUUUUUUUAUUUACUGAAUAAGUUAUGGGGUCUGUAUCUCGUGAACAAAUUACAUAGUUGUUAUUGGUUUUUCUUGUUUUCUUUUUGUAUGGGGUCUGUAGCCACUUGUCACAAGAUGCUUCAAAUGACCCUCCCCAUGGCUUAUAUAGGAGGUGAGAAGCUUCUAGAGACCCUUGGAGACAACCACACUUAGCCACUAGUGGGAAGAGUGUGGAAGGUUCUAGAAAUGCCUAGAGAAGUCCACACAACUCUACACUAUGGUAGAAGGCAUGAGAAGGGUCCAAAGCUUUCUAGAGAAAUCUAGAAGUCUCUUGAAUAUUCUAGAAUAGUGUAGGACAUUCUAGAAGUCUCUUGAAUAUUCUAGAAUAGUGUAGGACUAUCUAGAAGUCUCUUGAAUAUUCUAGAAUAGUGUAGGACAUUCUAGAAUAUUCAUGAAUUGUAAGGAACCCUCCAAGGUUCUAGAGAGUUCCAUUGGUGCCUAUAAAUAGGUGAGGGCCUCAUUUGGCCAAGGCACCAAGCAAGUGAGCAUCCAAGCACUUGUAAAGGCUUUCUUGAGAUAAUAAAGCUUUCAUUCUUUAAGGAGUUGCCUACUAAGCUCUUAAGCUUUCGAGUCGCGAGUGUCUUAGCCGAGCAAGCUAAGCAUUGGGGAUCAAGGCUGACUUAGCAAGAUCAAGCGUCUUGACUUGCCUAAGUGUCGCAUGAGCUUAGUGAACGACUAAGUCCGUGACAAGUGGUAUCAGAGCGUGGCUACGAAGCGGGCAUAAGGGAAGCAUGUCGGGCUCUAACAUGGAGGAGACUAGCGAACAAACCCGUGGGAAGGAGGCCGAGCCUACUGCACGGGGCAGGGGCAGAGGUAAGAAGGAUACAUCUCGUGAUGUUGUUGCCAACAUGGAGGCAAGGUUAGCCAAGGUGGAGCUAGCCAUGGCAGACACCCGGGAAGGGGUGGACUUGAUCGAGCAAGGCAUGGAGAAGGGCUUAGAGGAUCUAAGGGAGCAGACCCAAGACCUUCGCGAGGGGGUGCUGGUCUCGCAAGUUCAGCCGGUGUCACACGAGGAGUUCAUGUCUUUCCAAGACAAGGUCAUGAGCAUGUUCACUAGUGUGGAGUCAAGGAUGGAGGCCUUGACUGCACGAGUGGAGGCCCGAGACCAAGAGAUUCGACAAGAGUUGGCCAUCUAUAAGACCGUUGUAUCAGCACGAGUCAUGGCCACUCAUAAGGCACCAAGGGUGGAGGUGCCCAAGCCACACACGUUCAGUGGCAAGAGGGAUGCCAAGGAGCUAGAUAACUUCUUGUGGCACAUGGAGCGUUACUUUGAGGCAAUUGCAUUAACGGAUGAAGCCACUAAGGUACGUACCGCGACCCUUUACCUCACUGAUAAUGCUACUCUAUGGUGGCGUCGACGAUUUGCCGACAUAGAGAGAGGGACGUGCACCAUAGACACAUGGGAUACCUUUAAGAGAUAAAUCAAGAGGCAAUUCUAUCCCGAAGACGUGGCUUACCUAGCAAGGAAGAGUUUGAAGCGUCUCAAGCACACGGGCUCGAUCCGUGAGUAUGUCAAAGAAUUCUCUACUCUUAUGCUUGAGAUACCUAACAUGGCUGAGGAGGAGCUACUGUUCAACUUCAUGGACAACUUGCAAAGCUGGGCCGAGCAAGAGUUGAAGAGACGUGGUGUCCAAGACCUAGCCACGGCCAUGGCAGUAGCCGAGUCCUUAGUAGAUUAUAGAAGGGGAGACUCCUCCAAGCCCAAACCACCAUCCAAGGGUAACCAGGCCAAAGGUGGGGGAGACAAGAGGUCGCAAGGCCAUACCUCUAAGGAAAGAUCAAGCAAAGGCCCUAGUGGCAAGGAUGGCAAAGGCAAGGACAAGCGAAAGGAGUUCACGCCCAGGACCAAUUGCUUCCUGUGCGAUGGUCCGCACUAGGCACGAGACUGCCCUAAGAGGAAGGCCUUAAAUGUUAUGAUCGAGGAAAAUGAGCAAGAAGGCGAUGCUAAGAUGGGAUCGUUGUAGCUCUUAAAUGCCCUUAAGGCCAAGCCGAUGCCUAAGAUGCCUCAAAGCAAAGGGCUGAUGUAUGUGGAGGCCCUUGUGAAUGGGAAGGCCACCAAGGCCCUGGUGGACACAGGUGCCACUCACAACUUUGUCUCGGAGGAUGAGGCAAGAAGGUUGGAGCUCCAAGCAUCCAAGGAAGGAGGAUGGCUCAAGGCAGUCAAUUCAGCCGCCAAGCCAUCACAUGGAGUAGCUCGCGGGGUGACUAUGCACAUCGGCUCGUGGGAAGGAAGGGUCGACUUCACAGUGGCACCCAUGGAUGACUUCAAGAUGGUGCUAGGAAUGGACUUCCUACAGAAGGUCAAGGCCGUGCCACUACCUUUCCUACGCUCAAUGGCUAUCCUAGAGGAGGAGAAGUUGUUCAUGGUCCCUACGGUCAAUGAAGGUACGCUCAAGACCCCUAUGUUAUCCGUUAUGCAAGUAAAGAAGGGGUUAAAGAGGGAAGAGGUGACCUACCUCGCCACCCUAAAGGAAGAAAAGGAUGAUGGGUCGAGAGAACCCAUACCUAAAGAAAUCAAGGGGGUCCUUGAUGAGUUCAAGGACGUGAUGCCGCCCGAGUUGCCUAAGAGACUUCCUCCUAGGAGAGAGGAAGAUCACAAGAUUGAGCUGGAGCCGGGAGCCAAGCCCCCUGCUAUGAGGCCAUAUAGGAUGGCACCACCCGAGUUGGAGGAGCUAAGGAGACAACUCAAGGAGUUGCUAGAUGCGGGGUUCAUCCAACCAUCUAAGGCUCCUUAUGGCGCGCCGGUUCUAUUUCAGAAAAAGCGUGAUGGGUCCCUACGAAUGUGCAUAGAUUACCGGGCACUCAACAAGGUGACGGUGAAGAACAAGUAUCCCAUCCCGCUCAUUGCUGACUUGUUCAAUCAACUUGGAAGGGCAAGGUACUUCACGAAGCUGGACUUAAGGUCAGGCUACUACCAAGUCAGGAUUGCGGAGGGAGAUGAGCCGAAGACUACAUGUGUGACCAGGUAUGGCUCAUAUGAGUUCUUAGUAAUGCCUUUCGGACUCACCAAUACCCCAGCAACGUUUUGCACCCUCAUGAACAAGAUCUUCCACCCAUACUUGGACAAGUUCGUGGUGGUGUACUUGGAUGACAUAGUCAUCUAUAGUAACACUCUAAAGGAGCACGUAGAGCACUUGAGGAAGGUCUUUAAGAUCUUGAGGCAGAAUGAGCUAUACGUGAAGAAGGAGAAGUGUUCGUUUGCUAAGGAGGAAGUGAGCUUCCUUGGGCAUCGCAUCAGAGAUGGCAAGCUGAUGAUGGAUAAUAGCAAGGUGAAGGCCAUCCAAGAAUGGGAUCCACCAACCAAGGUACCUCAACUCAGAUCUUUCCUUGGUUUAGUUAAUUACUAUCGGCGGUUCAUAAAGGGUUAUUCGGCAAGGGCCGCUCCAGUCACUGAUCUUCUGAAGAAGAAUAAGACAUGGGAAUGGGAUGAAAGAUGCCAACAAGCCUUUGAGGACCUGAAGAAGGCUGUGACUGAGGAGCCAGUGUUGGCACUACCUGACCACACCAAGGUCUUUGAGGUACACAUAGAUGCCUCAGACUUCGCUAUUGGGGGAGUCCUUAUGCAAGAAAGGCACCCAAUCGCAUUUGAGAGUCGCAAGCUAAACGACACGGAGAAGCGUUACACGGUACAGGAAAAGGAGAUGACUGCCAUCGUCCAUUUCUUGCGCACCUGGAGGCACUAUCUGCUAGGGUCUCACUUCAUAGUGAAGACCGACAAUGUGGCCACUAGCUACUUCCAGACACAGAAGAAGUUGAGUCCUAAACAAGCUAGGUGGCAAGACUUCCUGGCCGAGUUCGACUAUACGCUGGAGUAUAAGCCGGGAAGUGCUAAUCAUGUGGCCGACGCCCUAAGCCGCAAAACCGAGCUAGCGUCUAUGACGAGUCAGCCCCAAGGAGACAUAAUAGAUCUUCUAAGGGAAGGACUGAAACAUGAUCCAGUGGCUAAGAGCCUCAUUGCCCUGGCUCAUGAAGGGAAGACCAAGCGGUUUUGGGUGGAGGACGACUUACUCUACACCAAAGGGAGACGACUCUACGUGCCUAAGUGGGGGAACAUAAGGCGGAACCUGAUUAAGGAGUGCCAUGACACCAAGUGGGCAGGGCACCCUGGGCAACGACGCACUAGGGCACUACUCGAGUCGGCUUACUAUUAGCUUCAAAUACAGGAUGAGGUUGAGGCCUAUGUGAGGACUUGUCUUGUGUGCCAACAAGACAAGGUGGAGCAACGACAGCCUAGAGGCCUGUUGGAGCCAUUACCCAUAGCAGAGCGCCCAUGGGACAGCGUCACCAUGGACUUCAUCAUCGGGCUACCCAAGUCAGAGGACAACGGGUCGAUCAUAGUGGUGGUAGACAGGUUCUCUAAGUAUGCAACCUUCAUAGCAGCCCCGAUUGACUGCACUGCGGAAGAGACGGCGAGGCUAUUCCUAAAGCACGUAGUCAAGUAUUGGGGGUUGCCGAAGUUCAUCAUCAGUGAUCGCGAUCCACGUUUCACUGGGAAGUUUUGGACGAAGCUCUUCAAGCUUAUGGGUUCGGAGCUUCACUUCUCCACAAGUUUUCACCCACAAACGGAUGGGCAGACCGAGAGGGUGAACGCUUUAUUGGAGCUGUACUUGAGGCACUUCGUGAGUGCCAACCAGAAGGAUUGGGCUAAGUUGCUAGACAUAGCCCAGUUCUCAUACAAUCUGCAAAGGAGUGAGGCGACCAAUAAGAGUCCGUUCGAGCUAGCUACAGGACAGCAACCGUUAACUCCUCACACUCUAACGAUUGGCUAUACGGGGAGAAGUCCAGCGGCUUUCAAGUUCGCGAAAGGGUGGCACGAGCAAGCUGAUAUAGCACGCUCAUACUUGGACAAGGCCGCUAAGAAAAUGAAGAAGUGGGCUGACAAGAAGCGACGACACACAGAGUACAAGGUCAGAGACAUGGUGCUUGUCAAGCUCCUUCCUCAACAAUUCAAGUCCCUAAGGUCGGUGCAUAAGGGCCUUGUGAGGAGGUAUGAAGGACCCUUCCCCAUACUGGGGAAGGUCGGCAAGGUGUCCUAUAGAGUCGAGCUGCCCUCGAGGUUGAAGAUUCAUCCUGUCUUCCACGCAAGCUACUUGAAGCCUUAUCACGAAGACAAGGAUGAUCCAAGCCGAGGGCUUUCUAAGAGGGCAACUACAGCGGUUGUGACCUCCUAUGACAAGGAGGUGGAACACAUCAUUGCAGACCGAAUCAUCAGAAGGCGUGGUGUGUCUCCUGCUACGGAGUACUUAGUGAAAUGGAAGGGACUACCAGAAAGCGAGGCUAGUUGGGAGCCAGCAAAUGCACUAUGGCAGUUCCAGGAACAGAUUGAGCGGUUCCGGGCAGAAAACACGACGAGGACGUCUGCGGCUUAGGUGGGGGAGAGUGUCACAAGAUGCUUCAAAUGACCCUCCCCAUGGCUUAUAUAGGAGGUGAGAAGCUUCUAGAGACCCUUGGAGACAACCACACUUAGCCACUAGUGGGAAGAGUGUGGAAGGUUCUAGAAAUGCCUAGAGAAGUCCACACAACUCUACACUAUGGUAGAAGGCAUGAGAAGGGUCCAAAGCUUUCUAAAGAAAUCUAGAAGUCUCUUGAAUAUUCUAGAAUAGUGUAGGACAUUCUAGAAGUCUCUUGAAUAUUCUAGAAUAGUGUAGGACAUUCUAGAAUAUUCAUGAAUUGUAAGGAACCCUCCAAGGUUCUAGAGAGUUCCAUUGGUGCCUAUAAAUAGGUGAGGGCCUCAUUUGGCCAAGGCACCAAGCAAGUGAGCAUCCAAGCACUUGUAAAGGCUUUCUUGAGAUAAUAAAGCUUCCAUUCUUUAAGGAGUUGCCUACUAAGCUCUUAAGCUUUCGAGUUGCGAGUGUCUUAGCCGAGCAAGCUAAGCAUUGGGGAUCAAGGCUGACUUAGCAAGAUCAAGCGUCUUGACUUGCCUAAGUGCCGCACGAGCUUAGUGAACGACUAAGUCCGUGACACACUUCUCUGGCACUACAUCAAUUUGGAAUCGCACAAGUUCAUGGUCCUAGGUUAUGGGUUAUCAUUGGUUUUUCUUGUUUUCUUUUUGUACAUCUUUCUCCGUAGCCACUUCUCUGGAACUACAUCAAUUUGGAAUCGCCCAAAUUCAUGGUCCUGUGUAGCAUAAGAUAUUCACCUCCCAUAAAAUAAUAGAAAUUCACAGCAUGCAGAUACUAAGAUUUUUUUUUUCUCCCCAAAAAGAAAUACGUACAAAAGUAAAAAAGACAGAAGUCUGUAAAAAGCAGAUGAACAAACUUGAAUUUUAUUUUUAGGACUCAAGUCAAGGGUGACUAGAUGAAUUGGUGGAUGUAGAUUCUGAUUUCCUUUCAUUUGUUUUAUUUAUAGCAGUUUCAUUUCCUUGUUCAGUCAGUAAUUUUCUUUUUCCCCUCACUCCCCCUCCCCCCACCUUCUUCAAAUUGGGUGUAUAAUUGAAAUGGAAGUUGGCUUAUAUUUACUGGUAAUGCUUGUGAUAUCCUUUUUCUCACCUUUUUCUUAGAAAUGAAGAAUGAGGAAAUAUGGGUGCUACAUGUUUCACUUGUUGAGAACUGCCAUUGUUACAUAGAUUUCCUAUUGAUUUACAUGUAAUCCUUGUAUGAUUUUUGUUCCAAGGAAAUUAGUUGGUAAAAAGCUUCGGUCAAAAUUUAAUUGUGUGACAUUGUAGGAAUCUUUGUCCUAGAUCUUGAAUGCCUUCUUUUUGUAUGAUAUUAGAUAUCAUGCAUCCACAAGUUCUUCUCACUUGUUCAAUUUUUUAUGAUGCGCGGUUUUUAACAUAUGGUGUUCUUAGAUAUCUGGAUCCUAAUAAGCUUUACUUGUGUGAGCUUAUCCUUGUAAAGUUGAAAAGUUAUCCUACUGAUGCAGUGUUGUUGGAUAUUCUAAUAGCUUUACUUGUAUGAGCUCAUCCCUGCAAACUUGGAGGUUAUCUUGUUCAGGGACAUAGUCCUUGCUCUUCUUCUUCUAGAACAAUUUAUUCCGUUCUUUUCAUUUAUUUAUUUAUUUUGGUGUGUGUGGAUAGCCUUACUAUUAUAGCACGUGUGUUAUUUUUCCAUGGGCUAUAUUACAAUUUAUCUCUCGUAGUUUCUUCCCUUAUUUUUAGGAAGCAUACUUAUGUACGUCUGAAUUCUUAUUUGGAAGCGUCUGGGUACUUUGACUGUUUAAGUCUUAAGAAGUUGAUAUCAAAGUGUAGCUAUAUAUUGUUACUUAGAGGAUCUGCAGAUUUAAGUAGGUUUAGAUCUGAUAAAACUAUAUAUCAGCACUCAUGUCCCCAUUGUUUGCAAUAUGGAGCUAUGCUGAACUGUGAAAUGAGUAGCUACUGUUACCAACUUGAGGCUUGGGUCAAAGGAUGAAAAAGAGGUUGAUAGGAUAUUUUGAACUGUGAAUUUAAUUAACUCGUGUUCAUCAUUUGAUAUCAUGAUUCUGAAUUGUUGAUCGGAUGGACCAAAUGCAUUUGGUGUGGCACUUGUUUUAAUUGGACCUGGUAACAUUGAUCAGGUCCUGGUUUUUUUUUUCUUCUUCUUUUUUUUUUUUUUUCCAGCAAUGUUUGCUUUUUGAAACACCAAUUUUCUCAUCAUGAUUGUAGGAAGUACAGAGAUGCCAGAUGCAAUGGAGAUGAUAUUUCAAUCUGCCCUUGCUUUGGGUAGAAACGGGGCCGCGAGUUAUUUGUUUUCCCUGAAAUUUCUUGCACUUACAUCUUAUCGUGCUUUUCCAUGUCUAAUUUUUAGUACCACACUCAAUUGAACUAAUUGGCAGUAAGUUUCUUGCUUUUGCUUUGCAUUACUUUUUAGAAUGCAAAAUAAAAGGAAAAAAAAAAAAAAAAAAAGAAAAAGAAAAGUGGACUCUUCUAGAAUUACCAGAAAACAAAAAAUAAGCAUGGGUUGUUGUUUGUUUGUGGAGUUAUUUUAGUUUUUGACGUCAUGCUCCUCAAGCAACAUCUUAUAAGACUAUUUUUAGGAUUAGGUCCAACAUGAACUAGUGCAAGUGUGAAGAUUGCAUUUUGUCAUGUCUCAGACUCUGCAGUAGAGGGAAUCUAUCAUUAAUCAUACUCCAUUUGACUUGACAUGUGAUAUGCUGGAAACCUGAAACAUGGCCUUGGUUUGGCUCGUGUCAUUUUUCACUACUCGAGAUUUCUUGCCCACAUGCUAAAGACUUUUAUAAGUAUAGUCUAUAUAACUAACUGCCCUUGGCAAAAACUCAGCGUGUCUACAACUAAAAAUGUACGCUAGCAAUAGCAUUAUAUGGAUAUGGCUUUGUGGUUCAACACGAAUACAAAGACUUUCCUUGAGAAUACCUGAAUAAGACGAAUAACAACAAAUGUCACAUGAAAGCAAAUUGGUCGUGCCAAUUAAGAAUUUCUGUUUCAUACAUGUCAGCAAGUUGAUGAGCUAAUGGGUGAUGUGGAAAGCGCAGUGUCCUUGUAUUCAAAGGCGGUGCACUUGUUAGUGUCCCUUCUUGUGGAAGCACCAUCCCUCAUUCUCAACCCUCCCUUCUAUCUUACAAACUCAGACCACUAUAGGCUUCGAACUUACAUUGAUAUCCUAAAUAUGCAAGAGUCCACUCAAGGUCUCAAAGGAUGAAUCUUCUUAAGUGCGAGGAUCAACAAUGUCCCCCUUAAAAACUAGUGUAACUUUUAAAUAUCCAAUGUGCCAUGGCUUCCAUAUAUAAUCAUUUAUUUGUACAGAUGUUCUUUGAGUGACUGUGAUCCCUUAUUUGGGACUCAAAUCAUGAUUCUAUAAUUUAAAGACUGAUGAAAUGUGCAUUUUUUUCCCAUCUCUGUCCAUUUGGAUGUGCAUUUUCUGACCAGGUGUUUAUUCAGGGGUCAUUGCCUAGAAUACCAAUCUGGACGGUUCUGUUAGAUCAAUUCUGCUGCAAGAUAUCCUUUCCACAUUCACAACAUAGUUAUCCAGUACUCAUGUAACUCAAAAACUUUUUAUUUGAGUUUCAUGCCAUUUGUUCUCUCUCAGCAAAUGAAAUAACUCUACUGCUUCUUAUGAAGCGUUUAGAAUGGGUUAAAAUCCUAUAUCUGGCUGUAGGGAACAAUCUGCUCAGUGAAUGAAUUGCAUCAUCUUUACAUUUUAUUUCUUCCACUUUUGCUGCUGAAAUUAUGGGUGGUCUCAUCUGAAGUUGGGACAUGUUUCGGGGCCAUUGCAUUCGAAUGAAUGGACUAGUGACUUCAAAUGCAAAUUUUGGAGCCACUAAAAACUCCUAACGGAUGGGCUUGUGAUUUCAAAUGCCAUCGAAGAUGUAUUUUUUAUUUUCUAUUUUCGGGCCUGGAGAUACAAUGCUGUUUAUGGGACACCAGAUCUACUUGAAGGUCCUGCUUGAUUUAUGGGAAGAAAAUGUGCGGAAUAUUAUUUUCCUUAUAACUGGUGAGGUAGAUGAGUGUAGCUUGUGUCUAAGCAGCUUCCAUUGAAUAUUUGAGGAAAAUUCUCCUAUGAAUAAUUAGCAUCUUAUUCAAAACUUACGAGGAGGGUUCCAAUCAGUAAAGAGUCCUGCAAAGGCUUGAUUAUCUUAGCAUGAGUCAUCAUCCCAUGACCAAGAGUGAAUACAGAAAUGUUAGGCAUGCCGCAUACGAAGGCGCCAAUCAUUUUAUCAGGCUAUCACAAUAUGCAUUAUGUAUUCCAAUUAUAUUCAAAAUUUCACCACCCGUAAAUAGGGCCGCAUAUUUCAAAAUACCUACCGUAUCUUCCAAUGUUUUAAAGAGUGUCACAAGUUUCUCUAAAUCUUCCUCAUUCUUAGUUGGCAAAUGUGGACACCUUCCUUCAGGAAGAAUACAAUAUCAAUGGAUCUCCUUUAACUACUUGAUGAAAAUCAUUUCCUGCCAUUUCACAAUUGGGUCUUAUGGGAUGAGGUUACUAGAAUGAAUGGAACUUGGUGGGUCAGAGUCCACAUUGAUGAGCGGUGAAACAGUGCCCAGUAAAAAAGGCAAAUAACACAAGAUUGAGAAGACGAAAGCACAUCUUUUUUCAUUAUAACUUCAAAGGGAAGAUUCAUGGUGGUGAUCAAAAUGAAAUCUCCAAAUAAAGAUAGUUAUACUCUAACUCUGCUGGUUUGGAAAUCCAAGAUCUACCUUGUCGAGAAUGAUCAAAUUUUAGGGGUGUUAUCAAUAUUGUCCCCAAGGCUAAUGACCAAUUCAAGGCAUUGAAAUAUAAUUUAAAAUUGCAACAAGUAGGAGUGGAUAUUAAAAAGAAGGGAGUCUUAUGUCACAAAACGCUUCAAAUGACCCUCCCUAUGGGCUUAUAUAGGAAAUAGGAAGCUUCUAGAGACCCAAGAGACAUCUACACUUAGCUACAAAGUGGAAGAGUAUGGAAGUUUUUAAAGAGGGUUAGAGAUGUCUACACAUUUCUACACUUGACUAGGAGAGCAUUGGAAUAGUGUGGGGUGUUCUAAAUUCUUCCAAAGGCAUCUUGUACAUAACCUUAUACAUAGACUAGUGUAGGAGCUUCUAGAUUAUUCUUGAUUUGUAAGGAACCCUCCAAGGUUCUAGAUACUUCCUAAGGUGUCUAUAAAUAGGUUAAGGUCUCAUUUGGCCAAGACACCACCUAAAUCACUUUCUAACCAAGCAAGUGAGCUUUCAAAGCACUUGUAAAACAUCAUUUGAGAGCAAUAAAAGCUUCCAUUCUUUAAGAGUUGCAUAUUUCGCCUUCUAAAGCUUCCAAUUCAUGAGUAUCUUAGCGUAGUAAGUUAAGUAUUAGGAGUAAGGUUGACAUAGCAAGAUCACAAGUCUUGGCUUGUCUAAGUGUCGCAUGAGCUUAGGAAAAUAUUAAGUCUGUGAUAGUUGAUAUUAGAGUAUGGUUGCAAAGCAGGCAUUGUGAAGAAAGCAUGUUAGGGUCCAAUGUUGAUGACACUAGUGAGUAAACUCGUGGAAGGAAGACCGAGCCUAUUGUAAGGGGUAGGGGUAGGAAGGAUAAGUCUCAUGAUGUCGUUGCCAACAUAGAGGCAAGGGCUAGCCAAAAUGGAGCUAGCCAUGACGGACUCUCGGGAGGGGUUGGACUUGAUUGAGCAAGGCAUGGAGAAAGGUAUAGAAGAUCUUAGGGAAUAGAUCCAAGACCUUCAUGAGGGGAUGCUAGUCUCAUAGGUUCAGCUAGUGUCGCACGAGGAGUUUGUGUCCUUCGAAAAGAAGGUCAUGAGCGUGCUUACUAGCAUGGAGUCAAAGAUGGAGGCUUUGGCUACCAUGGAGUCCCGAGACUAAGGGGUUAGGCAAUAGUUGGCUAUCUAUAAGGUCGUUGUGUCAGCGCUGGUCAUGGCCAUAUGGGAGGCAUCUAGGAUAGAGGUACUGAAGCCAUAAGGGUUUGGUGGCAAGUAGGAUGCCAAAGAGUUAGACAACUUCUUAUGGCAUAUGGAGCAAUACUUCGAGACUAUCGCACUAACUAAUGACGGCUAAGGUAAGGACUACGAUCCUCUACCUUACUAAUAUAGCUACUCUAUGGUGGCGCCAAAGGUUCAUCGAUAUGGAGAAAGACAUUUGCAUCAUAGAAACAUGAGAGAACUUUAAGAGGGAGAUCAAAAAGUAGUUCUACCCCGAGGACGUGGCCUACCUAGCUAGGAAAAACAUGAGACGUCUCAAGCACACAAACUCGAUUUGUCAUUAUGUCAAGGAGUUCUCUUCGCUCAUGCUUGAGAUUCCUAAUAUGAUUGAGGAGUUGCUAUUCAACUUCAUGGAUAACCUACAAAGGGGGGCCGAGCAGGAAUUAAGGCAUUGAGGUGUUCAAGACUUAAUCACUGUUAUGGCAGUAGUAGAGUUUUUAGCGGAUUACAAGAGGAAAGACUCCUCUAAGGUUGAGUCUUUGGAGGAUAGCCACGCCACUGGUGGAGGAGAUGAGGUUUCAAGAGACCACAAUGCUCUUAGAAUGGGAUCAGGCAAGACGCUUAACGUUAGGGAAGGAAGAGGUAAGACGAAAAAUAAGAACUUUACGCUUAAAAUCAAGUGUUUCUUGUAUGACAGUCCACAUUGGGCAAAAGAUUAUCCAAAGAGGAAGACACUUAGUGUCAUGAUCGAGGAGAAUGAAUAAGAAAAUGAGGCACAUAUGGGUUUAAUGCAACUACUAGGUACCCUCCAAGUCAACCCAAAGCGUAGUACGCCUAAGACUUUCUUACUAUCAAGGGUGCAAGUAAAGAAGGCAAAAUGGGAGCAAGCUAAAAGUAGCCCGUACACACAUGGACAAGGUCACGAAGGGAGAGGUGAACUCAAUAGGAAAAAGAAAACAAUACUCUAAGCAUCGAAAGUGUAGGUGUCUGCAUCCAUCCAAGGCCUCACAGGAAAUGAGGUGAAGAAUAUCCUAACUAAGCGAGUCACCAGGAGACAAGGGGUCCUUCUCGUGAUAGAGUAUCUAGUCCAAUGAAAAUGAUUACCUAAGAGGCAAGCAAGUUGGGAACAUGCGGAUGCCUUGAGAAAGUUUUGGAAACACAUCAAGAGAUUUCAAGAAGAGGCAACGACAGGGACAUCAACGGUAUGGGUGAGGGAAGGCAUCAUAAGAUGCUUCAAAUACCCCUCCCCAUGGGCUUAUAUAGGAGAUAGGAAGCUUCUAGAGACUCUUGGAGACAUCGACACGUAACUACAAAGUGGAAGAGUAUGAAAACUUUUAGAGAGAGUUAGAGAUGUCCACGCAUCUCUACACUUGGCUAGGAGAGCAUUGGAAUAGUGUGGGGUGUUCUAGAGUUUUCCAAAGGCAUCUUGUACAUAGUCUUAUACAUAGACUAGUGUAGGAGCUUCUAGAUUAUUCUUGAUUUGUAAGGAACCCUCCAAGGUUCUAAAGACUUCCUAAGAUGCCUAUAAAUAGGUUAAGGCCUCAUUUGGCCAAGGCACCACCCAAAUCACUUCCUAAUCAAACAAGUGAGCUUCCAAAGUAUUUGUAAAACAUCCUUUGAGAGCAAUAAAAGUUUCAAUUCUUCAAGAGUUGCUUACUACGCCUUCUAAAGCUUUCAAGUCGUGAGUAUUUUAGCCUAGUAAGUUAAGCAUCAGGAGUAAGGUUGGCUUAGCAAGAUCACGGGUCUUGACUUGUCUAAGUAUCACACGAGCUUAGGAAAAUACUAAGUUCGUGACACUUAACUUCAUUGUUGACAAGUCUUUAGUGUAUUUUCGUCUAUAGCUUACAUCAAACAAGAAUAGGUCAUGAAUUCAUUUGUAGCUUUCGUCAUAUAACAAGAGUUGUUGACAUAUAAUCAGUGGGUAUACCAAUGACCAGUAUCAUUGCUAAUGAGUCUUUCACGGGUCAUCGUAUAUGGCUAGCUUACAUAAGAUAAAGAACCAUCAUGAUUCAUGUGUAGCUUAUACGAGAUUGGGAGAGGUCUUCACUUAAGAGAACUUGUUGUUCAAGGCAUUAUUUCUAGGGUGACGGUCAAGUUUUCUCAACAUUCAGACUUUCCCGGAAGGUAACGUACAUGCACGGUGUGCCCAAAUUCGACAAAGGGCACCUUCAGAUGUGACCUUUUCUACAGUUAAAUUGGAUAAAUAUCUAUCGUCUCCCUAAGGUUUCUCAAAAAUUUAUCUUCCUUAAAAAAUCUUGGGGCAUCUUUAUUCUUUGGUUUACAGUUUGUUUGAAAAGCUGAUCAGGGUAGUGGAUAAACUUAAUUGGUGCCAUGUCUUCCCUCCUUUCGUAUGUGAACUAAUGGAUAUAAAACUAACAUUUUCUUAACCAAAGAUACAUUGUGAAGCUACAAAACUCGAACGACCAGGAGAAUGGUCUCUCUCAAAAGUCAAAACCUAAGGGUGCAAAGAAUUCUCCCCACCUUCGGGGCAAGGACAUUCAACAUCCACUCAAAUGAAGACCUAAUGCUGAAGAAAGGAAGUCAAGUCUCUUUGGCACCAUGCACGAUAAAGCCGAAAAAUGGCAGAAAAGUUGUGGUUCCUGCUGCCCUGUUGCAAAAGGCUACUCCUUCGUGCUCCUUCCCGUGAAGAGUGGCUAUAAAAAGAAACAUAAGCAACAAAAUGGGAGCUCCUCCUCAACGAAAUCACUCUCUCCAUCUACAAGAAAACGGUAAAAAAUUCAUCUUUGUAUCCAGAAAAUGAUGAAAUAAAAUCCUCCAUUUUUCCUGAAGAAUUUUAUCUACUUCACAUAGCUAGACAAAACUAGGAAAGACAUGGGAAACCUUAGUCCUACAUCUCAAAAGUUUCCUUCCAUUCUUCUUAUCCUUCUCAUAUUUCUCAUCUCCUUCUUCCCUUUUGCAACUUCCAACACCCAGAACAUUUUGCUAAGAGGCUCCUUUCUAUCGGUCGAAGAUGAUUCAGACUACAUCACCUCCCCAGACAAAUCAUUCAAUUGUGGUUUCUAUCGGAUGGGGGAAAAUGCUUACUGGUUUUCAAUAUGGUUCACAAAUUCGAAGGAACGAACUGUUGUUUGGAUGGCCAAUCGAAACAGACCUGUCAAUGGCCGGGGCUCCAGAAUUUCGCUGCAGCAAGAUGGUGCCAUGAUUCUAAGGGAAUGCUGAUGGCUCCCUGUUUGGGAGACGAACACUACCUCCACCGAUGUUGAUCGAGCAGAGCUUUUGGACACUGGAAACCUUGUUCUGAAGGACCCACGCGGUAAAAUUCUAUGGCAAAGCUUUCAUUUUCCAACGGAUACUUAAUUUUCUGCCAAACCAACUCCUCACUACAAGCACAAAGCUGAUCUCUAUAGUCAGCAGAGGGGAUUUUUCCUCUGGUCACUUUCACUUCUUUUUUUUAUAAUGACAAUGUCUUGAGAAUGAUGUACGAUGGGCCUGAAGUUUCAAGCUUGUAUUGGCCUAAUCCUGAUGGGAAUGUUUUCCGAAAUGGAAGAACAAACUAUACCAGUAGCAGAAUUUAUGUUUUAGAUGAAAUGGGGAGGUUUCUUUCGAGUGAUAGAAUGUCUUUCAAAGCUUCUGACAUGGGUUUUGGAGUCAAAAGGAAGCUGACAAUGGACUACGAUGGAAACCUGAGACUCUAUAGCUUAAACCAUUCUACGGGAUUAUGGAAUAUAUCAUGGGAAGCUCUUAGCGAACAGUAUAAAGUGCACGGGCUAUGUGGUAAACUCGGGAUUUGUAUUUAUACGCCAGAACCCAAGUGUUCACGUCCUCCGGGCUAUGAAGUAAGUGACCCAAGUGACUGGAGCAAAGGUUGCAAGUCUAAGUUCAACCAAAGCUGUUCCCAACCACAGUAGGUAAAAUUUGUGGAGCUUCCCCAGACCGAUUACUAUGGGUUUGAUCUGAAUUAUAGCCAAUCUGUUUCACUAGAAGCUUGCAGGAAAAUCUGCUUGGAGGAUUGCCUUUGCCAAGCAUUCGCCUACAGGCUAACAGGAGAAGGGAUCUGUUACCCAAAAAGUACCCUUUUCGAUGGCUACAAGUCCUCGAACUUCCUAGGGAGUAUAUAUUUAAAACUGCCUGUAGAUGUCUAAACGUCAGCACCCACUAUUCUGAAUGGCUCUGAUAACAUAUGCAAGUCUAAGGAAGUUGAGGUCGUGCUGAGAUCUUCUUCUAUGUAUGACACUGCCAAUAAAGGGAUGAGAUGGGUUUAUCUCUAAUCAUUUGUUUCCAUCAUUGGUGCAAUGGAAGUUCUCUUUAUUGUGUCGGGUUGGUGGUUUCUUUUCAGGGCACAUAAUGUGCCAUCUUCGGUUGAAGAUGGGUAUGCUCCGAUUUCAAGCUAGUUCAAGAGAUUUCGCUACACCGAACUUAAGAAAGCAACCGACAAUUUCAAAGUAGAGCUUGUAAGAAGAGGCUUUGGGGCUGUUUAUAAGGGUGUUUUGGAGGAUGAAAGGGUAGUAGCUGUGAAGAAAUUGGGAGAUGUCAUUCAAGGGGAAGAGGAGUUUUGGGCUGAAAUAAGCACUAUCCGAAAAAUGAGUUUUGACCCAAGAUAUUUAAAAAAAAAAAAUUCAUAAAAUAAACUUUGUUUCCGAAAUAAUACCUAAUUUAGUGUGUUUAUGACAUGUGUUUUAAUAAAACUAAACAAAAAUAUUUUUAUAUCAAAUUAAAAAUAUUAAUGAUUUAAUUUCAUAUAUUAUUAUGUUUUAAAUUAAUGAGAUAAGUUUAUUAACCAUUCACAUAUUUUGAAUAAAUAUAAAAUCAAAAUAAUAUAAUAUUUUUAUUUAAAAAGAUUAAAGUUAAAGUUGUAGUUAGUGACUAUGACUUUAAUAAUUUAAAAAAAAAAAUUAAAAUGAUAGUUAUCAAUUACGAUAUUAUGAUGUGAAGGCAUACGUACGCUAGAUUUAGUAUUAUUUUGGAAACAAGUUUAAUUUAUGGAUUUUUUAUUAUUAUUAAUAUCCUAUUUUGGGCCAAAACUGUCGAAAAAAUUAUCAUAAGAACCUAGUUAGAAUGUGGGGAUUCUGUUCAGAGGGUAGACACAGACUUGUAGUCUAUCAGCAUGUAGAAAAUCUGUCACUGGAUAAGCAUCUCUUCAGCACGACUUUUCUGGGAUGGAAAUAGAGGUUUAACGUUGCAGUGGGGACAACACGGGGUUUAGCCUACCUUCACCAUGAGUGUCUAGAAUGGGUUAUCCAUUGUGACGUGAGGCCUGAAAAUAUACUACUAGACAAUGGGUUUGAACCAAAAAUUGAAGAUUUUGGGCUAGUAAAGCUGUCCCGAAGAGGUGGCCUUGGUUCAGGAGAAUUCUCUCGGGUUCCGGGGACUAAAGGGUACAUGGCUCCAGAGUGGGCUAUGAAUCUUCCAAUUACGGCAAAAGUUGAUGCUUAUAGCUAUGGAGUUGCGGUUCUAGAGAUGGUGAGGGGAAUUUGGCUUUCAAAUUGGGUGGGUGGGGAUGGUGAGGAGCAGGAAGCUGAGCUGACGAGGUUUGUUAGGCUAGUGAAACGGAAAAUUCAAUGUGGAGAAGACAAUUGGAUAGAGGAUACAUUGGACCCAAGAUUGAAGGGGAAGUUUAGCAGGCAGCAGCAGUCGAAAUAGGUAUUUCUUGUGUGGAGGAAGAGAGAAGUAAAAGACCAACAAUGGCCACCGUAGUCCAAGUUCUACUGGAAUGUGAAGAUGAAGCCCAAGUGGACUUGGAGUAAAUGUCUUUUUUUUUUUAUCUAUAGGCAUCUAUCGGCCUGUAUCUCUUGAACAAAUUACAUAGCUGUCAUCGGUUUUGGCUUUAUAGAGGGUAUUUGUCUAUUUAAUCCUACAAGGUGAGAUACAUAAAAAGUAUUUGUAAUAUCUCAUAUCAUAAUCAGAUAGGAAAGAAAGUUUUUUAUAUAUAUUAUAAAAAUAUAGAUUUUUUUUUAAUUAUGUAGAUGCAUUUUAAAAUCAUGGAACCCUUUUGAAAUAGGCUUGAAGUAUCAUAUAAAAAUAAUUUAUUGGCUUUAAACCUAUUUUUUAUUUUUUAUUUUUUCUUUUUUCACUUUUUAUUUCUUAUAUUUUUCUCCUCUAUUUUCUUUCUCUCACAUUGUAUCUUACAUUUUCAGGAAAAAAAAAAAAGGUAUAGCCAAAAUAUUCCAAAUGAAAAUACAAAAUCAUGAACUGCAUUACUCUAGUAUGAAUAGUUAUAUCUUUAUCUAUCUUUAAGAAAUUUCAAUAAUACAAACAUAAUAUACAACAUGCUCUUUAACAUCAAUCAUUUUUGCUUUUCUUAAAAUCAAUUUUAAGGCUUAGUAUAAGGUGAGAAAUUAUUAUAUAACUUACCUAGACUUGGAUUGUGCUCGUUUUGCCAUAACUUUACCUUUGUUUCACUUUUGUUAUGUUGGAUCUCAAAAAAUAUUAAAGAAAAUAUUAAGAAAAAUGGUUUUUUUUAUAUUUAAUUAUGUAUUUUUAAAAUUAUUUAAUAUUUACAUAUAAUAAUAAUAAUAAUAAUAAUAACUAAAUAGAAAAAUAAGACAAAGGAUAAAAUAUACAAUUUCUAACACAAGUUGAUGGUGUUUGUUUUUUUACUUUUUGCUGAAAGCAAUUUAGUUUUAGAAUUUAGGUUGUUUGUUUUUCUACUUUUUCAUGAUUUAUUAUAAACAUUUUAAUGACUUAUUAUAAACUUUUUACUAAAUAGAAAAAGCCAAAAUAUAUAGUUUUUUCUAAAUAAAAAAAACUAACAUAUUGAUUUUUUUUACUUUUUAAUAUUUAAUAGAAAUAAAAUACUACAAAAACAAACAACCUAAUAUUUAACACUAUUAAGUAUUAAGGUUCUAUUUAGAAUUAAGUAAAAAAACAAACACCACCUAAAUAUGUUUUAUUGAUACAAAUGCACAACCAAUUAUCUAUCUACAUAUAUAUAUAUAUAUAUAUAUAUAAAUUAAUUUUAAUUAUUUUAUAAGGUAUUUUAUAUAAUAAUUAAAUAAAAAACAAAGGUAAAUUUAUAAGUAAAAUUAUCAAUAUUUUAAAAUAAAAAAUACUUACGUAUCAUAUUUUUUUAUAUUGUUCAAUAUAUAUUAAUUUCUUUGUUAAAACAAUUUUAAUAUAAAUAAUAUCAUUUUUUUAUUUUUUUAAAUAUUUUAUAUCAAUUUUCUCUUAUUAAUAUUUUUUUUAAUCAAAAUAUCCACUCAUAUAUCAAUUGUAUUUGUACCUAGCAAAAAAUAUAACAGAAAUAUUUUGUCCAAAAUAUUGGACAAAUGACUCAGUCGUCGAAAGAAUGUUGUCUUGUAGUUGAAGUUAAGGAUAAGAAAUAUUGGACCUUGGACAAAAAUAUAACGGUUUCCAGUUGUAGCCAGCAAAAAUAAAUAAAUAAAUAAAUAAAGACUUGUUUAAUAAAGGGUCUUCGUCCAACGUAAUUAGAUCAGACUUGAGUAGAUCAGUCUAAGUCAUCCUCCAAUGAUCAAGUCAAAAAAUGUUAGGCAUACUAAUAGCUGGUCUGGUAGGCGCGGGUCGCAAUAUGCCUUUUCUUGUCUUAUCAUAUUCAAAAUUUCACGUGUAGUUUCCCACUUGCAUUUAAAAUUUCACACCUAACCAAAUCUUUGUGUUUUUAAGAGAUCCAACCAACCUAGUUUCUCUAAUAAAGAUAAGAGAGCACCCUUGGUUUGUUAAUUGGAACCUCUUUGAGUGGGGUUUGGUCAGAUGAGACUAGAAUAAUACCAAAUGGAAGCUUUGUAGAGUCGACGGUCAAUGGUGAAGUGAUGGUGCCCAAUCAAAAGGCAAAUAAAUGUUAUAACAAGAGGUCAUGACUCAUCACUUAUAAACUGGUAUAUCAAUGAGAGAAUAACCCUAGCAAGUUUUCCACGGGUCAUCCGUCGUCUGUAGCUUAAAAUAAGGUAAUAAGAUAAAAGAGCCGUCAUGUCUACUAUAUAAUAUAUAUAUAUAUUGGGUAAGGCCGAAGGGGACGUCGGUGUAAGGCAUAUUUCUGCAACUUGCUUCUUUAAAAAUUAUCCAUGCGAGUGUGUCCAAAUUUGGCAAGUGGGAUGGUGACUACGUGGAGUCACAACGGUCAUUAUAUUCCAACAAUUAUUUAUUCUCAAGCUCCCACUUGUUCUUGUUCUUCUCUUUUUUUUUUCUUUUUUUUUUUAAAUCUUAAUUAUAUUUAAAAUAAAUGUAAUUUAUAUGUAAAUAAAUAUUAUAACUUUUUAUGAUUUAUUUUUAUAAGAUAUAUUUUCAUUUUAUAUUUGUUAAAAAAUAAAAAAUAUUUUUAUUUAAUUAUAUAUAUAAAUUGGAUGAGACAAUACAAUAUCUCAAGUACCCCAUCAAAAUUUAAAAAUUCAAAUCUAUCACUAAUUUUUUUUCAUCUAAUGUCAUAUAAAGUACGAGAAUCCGCGAAAACGUGCUUCAGGUCCAUUCCUAAUUGAGACAUCUUUUUUGACGGUCUGUUCACCUCAAAGCUCAAUGCCUGACAACCAAAUGACCAACCAAGCACGUCUUCUCGAAGAAAGGACCAAGCAUUUUCUGAGAACAGCUCAAGACGGUGGAUACUGGACAGUGGGUCGUUUAUUAGUACCAUGUCUUCUCUCCUUUCGCACCUGAACUAGUGGAUAUGAAACCAACAUUUUCUUAACCAACCAAAGAUAUAUCUCUGAACCAAACUUCGAAAAUGGGAAACCUUAGUCAUGCAUCUCCAAAGUUUCCUUGCAUUCUUCUCACCCUUCUCAUCUCUUACCUCUUCUCUUUUGCAACUUGCAAAACCCACAACUUUUUGCAAAGAGGCUCCUCUCUAUCUGUGGAAGAUGAUUCAGACUACAUCACCUCCCCAGACAGAUCAUUCACUUGUGGUUUCUAUGGGGCGGGGGAAAAUGCUUACUGGUUUUCAAUAUGGUUCACAAAUUCUAAGGAAAGAACUGUGGUUUGGAUGGCCAAUCGUGACAGACCUGUCAAUGGCCGGGGCUCCAGGAUUUCACUGCGGCGAGAUGGCAUCAUGAACCUAAGGGAUGCUGAUGGCUCAACUGUUUGGGAG
rnacentral:lncRNA from 1 species